ACCCUCCAGGUUGAGAAUGCAGCCACGCGUCAAGAGCAAAGUGCUUGACAUUCAGUGCCUCUUCCACCAACCCACUUAUCAGGUCGUGGGAAGACGCGUGCAAGACCGUCCAUGAAGCUAACACACGAGAGCCAACAGGGAUAACCGUCCAUGUAGACUAUCAAUACAGUAGGGCUGCUUCUUUUCUCACCGAGCAUAAUGGAAAUUCUCAUGCUUGAUAGGUGGAUCCCUUUAGCUUUUGAGAAGUGUGAUGACUCAAUCGAUCUCGACGAACUUAAUAGUCAUGAACUAGAUAACGUUCUACACCUCAAGUGACUAUGUUUGGAGUUGCCACCCAACUACACCGAUAGCUUUGUGCCCAUCCGCUUGCAAUUUUGGAUUCAAUUCCUCAUCAAUCGGUCACACCAUCUCAUGUCCCUUACUUUGACGAAUAUUAGGCAAGAGAAAGAGGAAUCACUAUGUGUUUUCAUGGAACAUUUUGGGAUGACUACAAGGCAUAUAAGGAACCUCAACCAUAAGGUAUCCUUGCACGACAUGAUCACAACCUUACGACCUGGAUCGUCUGUUGAUAGCCUUUGUAUGAGGUCAACCGUGAACAUGGAUGAAUUGAGGGAACGAGCCAUAGAGUUCAUGUGGGUUGAAGAUAUACGAGAUUUUUGCCGACAAAUGAAACAUGAUGCAUCAACAAGUGAAAAGAAGAAAGAAAGGAAACCGAAUGAGAAAAGAGACGACUCUCAACCUAAGGAGUUGCCGAAAGAGUUACGGUUUAAAUCAAGCCUAACACGAAUAUUAGACGUUUAUUGAUGAGUCAGCAAAACUAAGAAAUUGUUUAUUUAGCAUGUAAAAUAAAGGAAAAUAUAUCUUUAACAAUUUUUUUUGACAAUUUUCUAACAAUCGCUUAUAUGGCAGCUUGUGAUUGAUCCGUUUCAAAUAUACAAAUCAAUAAAAUAAUGACACAUAAUUUAUUGUUAAAAAAUUGUUAAAAUAUCAUGAUCCUAAAAUAAAUGAGGUCAUAUAUUAUUAUUACGGAAGUCAUAAAGAUGAUGUGAGAGAAAGCGAAGCAACAGAAGACCCGUCAAGAAGUUACCGGUGGAGUACUAUUUUACUAUUCCAUUAUUUGUGUAAUCAUAAUAAAAUGUUGAUGGAAAAUGUUCAUAACGAACCAGAAAUUCAAUAAGACAUAUCCGUGGUUGAAAUUUAGACACUUAUUCUCUUCAAAGUUUCGUGUCAUAGAAGCCUUAAAGUACAGAUAUAUAUAAAAGUUAUUUGUUAUAAAUCAAUUUGCAAUACAUAUAUAAGCAGUUAUAUCUAUGUGCUUCUGCACUGCAAAGUUUUCCUUCAAACCUUGUACUUCUCAUGGAUGAAGACCAUAAGGAGGAGGCGUAUAAAGAUAAUUAUGGCCUUGUGGAUCAUCAUAUGCUGUCUCGAGGAGGCGUCCAUCUUAAUGGUUCCCAAAACAAAAUAUUGGAACUUACUCAUCAGUAAUCAUAAUUAUUAUACUAAUUACACAUAAUUUUAAACUAAAACAAAGUAAAAGAACUUUAGAGAGAGAAGAAAAAAAGGUUAAAACUUGAAUCAGAAACAUUAACUGGUUCAAUUUCAAAAGAUUAAAUAAUAUUUUGUAGGAGUUGUGUGUUACUUACAUGGUUUGUGAUGAGAUUGGGACAUCCAAAAGGGCAACCUUGCUGCUGUCAGAUUCAUUGAUAAGAGUAGCACGAAUAUCAUAACCAUCUUUAAGAUAAGCUUCUUAAAGUAAGCCAUUUUAGUUUCAAAGGCAAAAGGUAUUCACAGAUUGCUGCAGUGUGUGAUGGUUGAAUGGAAUGUAGCAUGUAUUUAUACUAUACACACAAAGAGAGAUAAAAGAAAAAUCUUGUGCAUACUAUUCUAAUAUAUUUAUUAUUUUAAAUUUUAUUAUCUUAUAAAACCAAGAAUUUCAAACUUCAACAUGAACAAUUUCAAAUAUAUUUAUUGAUCUUAUCAAUAUCAUCUAACAUGUACUUGAGUUGAAAAUAUUAACAUCGUUUGUAUGAAUAAAAACAAAGUUUUAAAAUCUUUGUUCUUCUUAACCUUUAACAGGAAGUAAAAUGAAAUCACUUCACAUUCACAUAGUAUACUAUAAUAUAUGAGAUUACUGAUUUAUAAGUCAUCAGAAAUUACACAAUAACACAAUUUACUUCAUAGCAACUUGAUACUCUCAUUAGGCAAGGAAAACAAUUUUGAAACCCUCACCAGUAGCUCUGGAAAGGUCCAAAACCUUUAAAAUGACCUAAAAAACGUCCAAAAUUGAUACGCGGAACCUCAAAUUUAAUAUUUCCAAAACCUGAAAAAAAAAUAUGAAACUAGUGCGGUAGUACUUAGCGCCCAAAUGCUACCCUUCAACGUUAGAGCCACAAGAAUGGUGGCGCUCAAUGCCAGAAAAUUGGCGCUCAGCGUUAACGCUUCUGGAAUGAUGACGCUCAACGCUUGGUUUGAGCGCUCAGGAGCUAUUAGGAGAAACUUACCUUUUUUAAAUUAUUUUCUCCACUUACCCCACAACUUCUUAAGACUCUUAGGACCCUCUAGACCUUAAAGAAAAUAACUUAAAUUGACCCCUUGAGACCCAAUUUCACUCCUUCAAACUACCCAAACUCAAUUUUUACCAUUUCCAAUACUUAUGAUAGUUUACCUCCCUAACAGUUCUACACCAGAAUUUAUUCAUUUAACAGCCUAGACAAGUUCUAAUAGGUCUAAUAAUAUAUUCCUUCCAUAAGUCUUAAAUGACUUCACAACUGACCUUAAACUGUUGUUUCCCUCAACCAACCAAUUUUUCAAAAACUCACAUACUAAAACCAAUUAUUAUAAAUUGGUCUUAUCUCUAGUCGAUGUGGGAUUUCUAACACACCCUCUGCACGUCGAGGUAUAAACAUCUCGAGUUUGAUAGUAGAAUUAAUGGGUGGUCUGAUAGCGGCCCGUUAGGGGAAGGAACAAAAUGCCAUAUAGAUCUCGCUAGUUUAGGCUCCAAUCAUGACUCUCAUACUAUAUUAAGAAGUGGAUUUUAAAUCUAACUCAAUCCCACAAAACGGACUUUUAAGAUGAGAUUUAUACCCACUUAUAUAUAUUAUAAAUUGACUUUAUCUUUAGUCGAUGUAAAACUAUAUGUUUUUACUUUCAAUAGAAAAGAAAUAUUAGUGAUAUUAUGCAUAAGUAUAAUGACGUCUAGUAAUAUGUUUUUAAUUUGUGAAUGUUUUAUUUAAUUUUUUUUAUCAACUUCUCUCAGACUCACUUAAAAAUAAAUAAAUAAAUGAUCGUAUAAUCCAUAUAAAGUUUUUUAUCUACAUUUUCUAAAAUUUUAUUUUAAUUUAAUGCAAACUAUAUUUUUAACCUUUAUUAACCUCGGUAUUCUUAUAAUAUAGCUGGAAAAAGGUACAUCAAGAAGUUCCCAGUGCAGUACUAUAAUCAAUUAUUUACAAUACGUAUAUAAACAGUAAUAAAUAUAUAUGCUUCUGCUCUGCAAAGUUUUCCUUCAAACCCAAUGCUGUACUCUCUGUCUUGUGGAUCAUCUCCUCUAUAUGCUUCUGCACUGCAAAGUUUUCCUUGAAAAACCCAAUAUUGUAAUCUCUGACUUCUCAUGGAUGACCAUAAUAAUUAUGGCCUUCUGGAUCAUAUGAUGCCUCAAGGAUGCGUCCAUCUUAAUGAUUCCCAAAACAAAAUAUUAGAACUUACACAUCAGUAAUCAAAAUUAUUAUACUAAUUACACAUAAUUUUAAACUAAAACAAAACAAAAGAACUUUGGAGAGAUACGAAAAAAAAUAGUUAACACUUGAAUCAGAAACAUUAAGCGGUUCAAUUUCAAAAGAUUAAACGAUAUUUUAUAGGAAUUAUGUAUUAUUUGUUAGAAUACAAACAAAGUUUCACAUCGAGUAAAAGAAGACUCAAACAUGAAUUUAUAUAUAUAUAUAUAUAUAUAUAUAUAUAUAUAUAUAUAUAUAUAUAUAUUUUUAUUGAUAUAAAAAUAAAUCUGUAAAAGCUUGAAUUUUACGAAGAUAUGUGUAUAUCAAACCUCUCCUACGUAUUAAAUAAUAUUUUACAGGAGUUGUGUGUUACUUACAUGGUUUCUGAUGAGAUUCGGACAUCCAAAAGGGCAACCUUGCUGCAGCCAGAUUCAUUGAUAAGAGUAGCACAAAUAUCAUAACCAUGUUUAAUAAGAUAAGCUUCUUAAAGUAAGCCAUUUUAGUUUCAAAGGAAAAAGGUAUUGCUGCAGUGUGUGAUGAUUCAAUGGAAUAUAGCAUAUAUUUAUACUAUACACACAAAGACAGAGAUAAAGAAAAAUCUUGUGCAUACUAUUCUAAUAUAUUUAAUAUUUUAAAUUUUAUUAUCCUAUAAAAGCAAUAAUUUCAGACUUAUACUUCAAAUAAGUUAAAAAUAUUAGCAUUGUCUGUAAGAACAAAAACAAAAAGUUUAUUGCGACACACUUGAUACCUCAAAAGUAAUAUAAAAAAUAGUUUAAAUACAUUUAAUAAAUGAUAACUUUAACGAUAUUAUAUCAACAAACUAUAUCUCGGAUAAGAUUAUUAAUAUAAACAAUAUUAUUUCGAUAUACUUUAAGUCCAAAUAAUGACGUUGUUUAUUUAUUUUGUGUUAUACCAUAUUUUAUCAAAUUCAAUAAGAACAAUUAAAAAAAUAAUAUAUAUUAAAAUAAAUAUAAAAUAAAAUAUAGAUUCAUACGAGCAAAUAUAGCACGGUGAUAAAAUACUUUUAUAUUGAUCAAAAGAUAUAAAUGUUUAUAAAAUUUAAAAAAUUUGGUAAAAAAGACUAAAACCAUAGUUUUCUAAAGUUGAAGGACUAAAUUGUACUAUAGUUUGAAAGAGGGACUGAACACAAAAACGGCCAAUAAUUGGGGGACGAAAAACAUAUUUAACCCUUUUUUUUAUAAUGGAUGGCAAACCAAAGUAACCCUUUUCAAAUUAUUAUUUCUAAUAAACAUUUUCUUAUAGAUAAUUUUUUUUAUCAGCUCUAUGGAUUGUAUAAAGAAAAUAAUAGAUUAUCAUGUGCCAUAUUAUCUUAAUUUAGAAAACUAACAUGUCCAUAUUUAAAUCACAUCUCAUAAAAGAUAUAGAUUUUUUUUCUUGAUAACAUUUCAACAAUAUAUAUAUAUAUAUAUAUAUAUAUAUAUAUAUAUAUAUAUAUAUAUAUAUAUAUAUAUUUUAUUUUUUUUUAUAAAAACGACAAAACGAAAGACUUGUAAGAAGACUUGAUACAAAAGCUACAAAAAACGUCCUUAUUCAUCUUUUAACAUUUUGCAAAGACCUUGACUUAAUAAAAAGGGUACCGUCAUUAACUUCUUAAAUCUAUUACUCUAUAAAAUUUUAGUCACCACAUAAUUUUCUUCCCCUGUAUAAAUCUAUACCGGUACACGAAUCAAUAUAUUUUCUUAAAUUAUUAUAGAUAUUUUGCAAAUUAAAAUGAAUAGAAUCUAUAUUUUUUUACUUCAAGUUUAAUGUUGGUACCUAAGGUAGUGUUCUUUUAGUUUGGGUUUCUUUUUUUUUCAUUCAUUUUGUUUUUAAAAUACAUCUUAAAAGGUUAAUAGAGAUAGUGUACAUAAAUUAUUAUUGACAUCACAUCUGAUGUAAUGUGAAAUUAUUAAAAAUAUCAAAAUAAGUCAUAGUAAAGAUAUAAGUAGUAGGAAGAUUUGUCUUAAAAAAUCUUUAGAAUCAUUUUUUUUUAUAGAUGAAACAAUAUUUCGAUUUCAAGUUCCUUGAGAUAAUAUCAUUAGGAUUAAUCAUCAUAUUAAUGGUAUUGACUAUUAAACUCACUGUUGCAUCAUAAUUUUUAUCCUCAUAUAACUAAGAAAAGAUGUAUUGAAAUUGUUUUUGGCCUUAUCUCUUAAGAGAUGUAAUAUUUAUAAUAUAUAUAAAAUAAAUAAAGAUUCAAGUUUUAGUAUUCUAUUCUAAUUUCUAACAAAUGAGUGGAAUAAUGUGAGAAAUUGGAAAAAUAAAUUUAUAAAGUAGUUCAUGUUGAUAAGUCGAAAACUUUAUGCUAAAUAUUAAUAGUUUUUUAAAAAUCUAAUUUAAUUUUAUAAAAUCGAUUUAUAAAUACUUAUUUUAUAUAUUAUAAAUUAGUUUUACCUUUAGUUAUUUUAUAUAUUAUAACUUAGUUUUAUUUUGCUCAAUAAUUGCUCAAGAUUUCCAAUAAAUAUUGUAACUUUUCUUACUUUUAAUAAAUAAUUUCAUAAAUAUGGUAACUUUUUCUUACUUUUAAUAAAUAAUUUCAUACGUGGGGUAUAUGCAUUAUAAUGUAAUGUAAUAUAGAACUAUGCAUGUUAACAAUCAUGUACUAAAUUUGGGAUAAAUAUGAGAGUUGAAAGGAAAGUUUAAUUACAGAAAAUAAUCACUAAAAGAAUAUUGAUGUUAAUAAAAUCGAUAAAAUAUUUAUCACAAAAAGAUAAUAUAACAUUAAGAUGUGCACUAUAAAGCAGAAGAGAGUAAAUUUUUAAAAUAUUCAUGCAUGAAAAUAGAUUAUAUUUCUUUUUAAUAUAAAGUUGCAUCUUAUUUGAGUUUAUUAGAUAAUAAAUAUAUAUUAAAACAAGUUUGUCUAAGCAAACAUUGUUUUGAAGUUUAACAUAUGUCUAAAUGAAAUAAUGUUUAAUUGUUUAGGAUAAAACAUAAGAAACGCUAAAUGCUACACUUUAAGUAUCCUAAACUAUAUAAGAGUCUCUAACUAAGACUAGUGUCUAAAGUAUGUUUGACCGUCUAACUAAGAAUAGUGUCUAAAGUAUGUUAAAGACAAAAUUGUCUAAGCGCCAUAAAAAUUCUCAUGUUUUAAAAUUUAAUCAAAUAAUAUUAAAAAAAAUAAUAAUAAGAAAAUAACUUGGGGUGAAAACAAAAGACUUAGAGCCUGAACCCCAAACAUACACAACCUAGAACCAAAUAAACAUAGAAAAACUUAGAUAAACACUUAGGUAUUAAGAAAUAGGAAAAACAUCUAGGUUAAAACACUCAGACGCAUGACUAAACUUUGUUGAGCCUAAAACGUCUAAGAAAGAUUGAGUUAAACGAUCAAUGAUUUUACUACCUGAUGGAAUAAGUAUUCAGCUUAUCUCAAAAAACAAAAUAGGUCAAGACAAUGUCUCUGACAAAACAUAUAUAAAAGAGAGCUUAAGCAACCUAAACAUUAUCUGUCUAAAAAGAGACAAAAGCUAAACAAACAUUUAUUUGACUAAACGAUGCAAUGAGCUUAAAAAAUACCCCAUCUUAUGAUGAAGUGUAUAUAUAUAUAUAUAUAUAUAUAUACACGUUUGAUAUCUUUAGAGAAAAGAAAUUAAUUGUAAAAUGUUAACUAACGGUAAAUGUUAACUAACGGUAAAUGUUAACUAAUGGAUUAAACUAGUAUAAAAACAAGUGUGUCUUGUUUUUCAAAGAUUUUCCAUUAAAAGUUUUAAAAAAUUAAGCGUUUAACAUCUAUUACAAAUAGUCUUAUUCCCGAAAAAAUAAUAUUAUAAAUAAUCUAUAUUAAACCAUUUUGUUAGUAGGGUGAUUACAAGUAAAAUAUCACAUGAAAUAAAACAUAAUAUUUUAAAUAUUUGAUAAUAUUAAGACAUAAAAUCUUAUUUUAAAUGGUUUAGACCAAUUCUUGUGGACGACAAAUCGCUACAUAUUUGACUUUGAACAACUGCUCACCCAGAAUAACAAAAUGCCGACUACAUUAACAUUCCUCAUACUUUAACUUGUUUCUAAACUCCAUUUUUCAUGAAUAUGACAAUAAAUAAUACUCGUUGAGAUUCUCGAGUCUGGAUUUUUAAGGGAAGAAGGGAAACAGUACUGAUAUUAUAUAUAAAUUUGACUGGCACCUAGUAAUAUGUUUUUAAUUUGUGAAUGUUUUUCUUUUUAUCAACUUCUCUUAUACUCACUUAAAAAUAAAUAAAUAAAUUAUCUGAUAAUCCAUAUAAAAAUUUUUAUUUACAUUUUCUAAUAAAAUUUUAUUUAAAUUUAUAUAUAAACUAUAUUUUUAACCUCUAUUAAGCUUUCUAUUUUUAUAAUAUAGCUGAAACAAGGCACAUCAAGAAGUUCAUUAUUUUAAUGUAUUAAAAACAUGAUAUAUAAAUAACUUUAUAUAGAAGAGAAAAAUAAAAAAAAUAAAACAUAACUAAGUCAAAUACAAAUACAAAUUUGUAACUAUUACAAUCAAAUUCAAUUUCCGAAAAAUCUAUACUAAUAAUAUAUUAAUAUGAAAUUGAGUUUAAGAAAAAUAUAUGCUAAUAAUCUAUAUGGUUAUGGCCUGCAAAGUUUUCCUUCAAACCCAAUAUUGUACUCUCUGACUUCUCAUGGAUGAUGACGAUUAUAAUUAUGGUCUCGUGGAUCAUCUGCUCUCAGAAGCCGUCCAUCUUAAUGGUUCCAAAAACAAAAUAUUAAAACUUACUCAUCACUAAUCAAAAUUAUUAUACUAAUUAUACAUAAUUUUAAACUUAAACAAAAUAAAAGAACUUUGAAGAGAGUGUUAUUAGGAGGAGGUUCCCUACACACAUAAAACUCCAUGGUAAGACAUUGUUCGCUUUAGACUAAGCUGUCAUGAAUUUGUUUUUGGUACCAAAAACAAAACUGUGAGAACUUGACCUAAAACGGACAAUGUCUUACCAUGUGUAGAGUUCUAUAUGUGUGGCGAACCUUCUCAAAGAGAAGAAAAAAAUAGUUAAAACUUCAAUUUCAAAAGAUUAAAUAAUAUUUUGUAGGAGUUGUGUUACUUACAUGUUUUCUGAUGAGAUUGGGACAUCCAAAAGGGCAACCUUGCUGCUGUCAGAUUCAUUGAUAAGAGCAGCACAAAUAUCAUAACCAUGUUUAAUAAGAUAAGCUUCUUAGAGUAAGCCAUUUUAAUUUCAAAGGAAAAAGGUAUUCCCAAAUUGCUGCAAUGUGUUAGGGUUCAAUGGAAUGUAGCAUAUAUUUAUACUAUACACACGAAGACAGAGAUCAAAAAGAAAAAUCUUUGUGUAUACUAUUCUAAUAAAUUGUUAAAAGAGAUGUUUAUUAAAUAAUACAUAAUAUUAUUUUAUGAUAUUUAUCUUUGAACAAAUGCUCACAUAGAAUACCAUUAUAAGAUGCCAACCACAUUAUGAUACGAAUCCUCAUACUUUUUAAGGUUUCUAAGGAAAAAUCUAUUUUUUUUUUUCAAAAAUAUUACAAUAAAUAAUAAUUGUUGAGAGUGUGAAAGUUUGAAUCUUUUAAGAAGAAAAGAAGAAUGAGUAGAAUUACAUAUAAACUUCGUUUGACCGGCAUCUAGUGAUAUGUUUUUAAUUUAUGAAUUUUUUUUUAUCAACUUCUCUUAAAUCAAUUUAAAAAUAAAUAAAUAAAUAGAUUAACUUUAUUAAUUUAUAUCAAACUUUUAUGUAAAUUUUCUAAUUAUUUUUGAUUUAUAUAUAAACUAAUUUUAACCUGUAUUAUUUUUUUUAUAAUAUAGUUCCAAAACUAUAUACAUCCACAAGUUGCUUGUGCACGUGCUAUUUUACUAGUCCAUUUAGACACGUAUCAUCUUCAAAGUUUGACAUAGAAGUCUUUUUUUUUCUGAACUGCUUUUUCAACUUAAUCUAUUAAUAACUAGAGUCUUUUAUAACCAAUAUUCUUUAAAAAAAAUAGUUUUUUAAUUAAAGAUUAUUUAAUAUUCUUUAAAAAAAUGUUUAUUUACAUUUAUUAUAGAGCUAUCAAAACGGGUCACCCAGUCCGACCUGACCCAGACCCAGUCCACCACGGGUUGGUCACUUAGUGAGCCAACCCAACUCGAUUCAUAUAUUAGCGAGUCAAAAAACUUCAAACCCGAUCCGAUCCAUUACGAGUUGGUGGGUAACAGGUUGGUUCACUGGCUCGCUUAAUUACAAUUUUUUCUAAAUAAAAGAAAUUAUAAAAUUUUUAUAAUUCAAAUAUAAAAAAAUUUCACCCUCAAAUUUCACUUCCAACAUGGGUGUUUAAUUAAUUUUGAAAAUAGGAAACUCAUAAUUUUUUCAAGCAAAAAAAAAAUAAUAAAUAUUUUUUUAUAAAAUUAAAAUUAAAUUUUAAUAAAAUAAAAUUAGGUAGGUGGAUUGGUGGGCCAAUUUGGUCCACCAAAUUUGCAUGAGCCAUGUUUAAAUGAAUCGGAUUAAAAUCUUACCUACAUAAAAUAAAUAUAAUUUUUUCAAAUCCAAUCCGAUCUAAACUCGUGGUUGACCGGGUGAACCUGCGGGUUAUGACGUAUUGACGGUUUUAAUUUAUUAUUACCAAAACUUUAUAUUGUAUGAAUCAUUUUUAAAUUAUAAAAUUAGACAAAUUUAAUAACCUUCCAUUUUAAUGACAAAUAUAAUAAGUUUUUAAUUGAUUAUUUAUUUAUCAAAGUAUAAGAUAUAAAUGGGUAGUUAUAAAUACGCCUUGCUUUACUGUACAUUAUACAAAAAUAAAUAAAUAUUAAUUAUAAAAAUUCUAUGUUUUAGUUUAUUUUCAAUUUGAAAAUUUUAAUUUAUUCUCCUUAUGAAAUUUGGUAACUUAAAAGGUUCAACUUUAUUUAUGUUAAAUAAUAAUUUAAAAAUAUGAAAAAGAUGAACUAAAGUGUGAACAAAACACAACUACAUCAAGUGAAAAAUAAAAUUUUAAUUUGACAAUUUUUUAUUAAUAAAUUGUAAGUGAAAUAAUUAAUGAAAAUUUAUGAAGGGUUAAUUAGCUUUAUUGGGUCAAGAUCAAUGUGGUGUUCGAAUCAGUAAAAUGAAUCAAAUUGACCAAACCCAGUUCCCUUAAAAAUUUUAUUAACGAGGGUAAAACAACAGCAAACAAUUUUUUUACCUUGAUAUUGAUAACAAGAGAGAAUAUAUAUAUAUAUAUAUAUAUAUAUAUAUAUAACACAGAAUAUCUUCUUAAUUUUCUUCCUACACUCCAUAAAAGUGGUACUCGAUCAUCAAAUUAUUUCUCAUUAAUUGAUGAUUUAUUUACCGAAGUAUAAGAUAUAAAUGGGUAGUUAUAAUAUAUACAAUACUUAUUUCAGAAUAAUUUUGCACCACAUAAUAAUACUGACGAGAAGUGAUAUUUUUGCUAGAAAAAGGAGCAGUGAGAACAUAAAUUUUGCAGUUAGAAGAGAGAGCAAAAGAAAGUGUAGAAUGGAUUGGAAUUAUGGAGAGGAGGAAAAAGCAUGCAUCUCUGCAAUGCAGCAUUGCUUUGGUCCAGUUUUGAAUGCAGCAAUUGAGCUAAAGUUGUUUGAGAUCAUAGCAAAGGCAUCUCCAACAGAAGUUGGUGUGACAGCAUCUGAUGUUGCCUCUCAACUUCCAACACAGCACCCAGAAUUGGCUCGCAGGAUUGAUCGCAUCUUGUCUCUGCUUGCAACUAUUCUCUUCUCACUUGUUCAACUUGCACAAACGAAAAUGGUGAAGGGAGUAAUCUUGGCACAAUCGAGAUGAAGAAGAUUCUAGAAAUGUAUACAGGAUUUGAAGAAAUAUAUCUUUGCUAGUUGAUGUUGGUGGUGACACUGGCCAAAAUCUGAAUAUGAUAAUCUCCAAUUAUCCUUCUAUUAAGGGCAUUAAUUUUGAUUUGCCUCAUGUUAUACAAAAUGCUCCCAUUUAUUCAGGUAUCUUUUAUUUUUCUCUACUUUGUCAUUAUGCUUUAAUAUUUGUAACUAGUUAUUUAAGAUACAAAUAUCAAAAUAGGUUAAAGAGUCAACUCAAUUCACCACAAAUUUGAAUUAGAUAGGAUUUGAAAAAAAAAUAUAUUCUUUUUAUGUGAGUCAAUUUUUAAUUCAGUUUAUUUAAAAUCCAUUUAUUCGGAUUGAUCCGUGAUAAACUAAAUUGAUUUACUAAUCUAUCUAAUUUUAUUUUAUUAGUUUAUUAUAUUAUGAAACUUAAAAAAAAAAAAUACUUAAUCCAAUUUCAGAUGGGAUUUUAAAGAAAUGUUUAAUGUAGAACCACAACAUUAAUAACACCUUAAUCUAAUAUAUGAAAGAGGAACUAAAAUUAAUUUUAAUCUAAAAUUUUAAAACAACAAGUUCAUUUUAUAUUAAAAUAACUUUUCAAAAAAUACCACUCUAUGGGAUUUAUUGUUUCAUUUGUUUAUUUAUUUUGCAAGCUAUAAUGAGUAAAAUUAAUUAAAUUAUUGUGAAGGGAUAGAGCAAGUUGAAGGAAACAUGUUUGAAAGUGUUCCACAAGGUGAUGCUAUAAUAUUAAAGGUUAGUCUAUUUCUCAAAUAGUUUAUCUAAAUAAAAUUAACUUAAGUUACAAAUAUUGAGAUUUUUCUGUUAGUCUAUUAUAUUUGAAUUUCUUACUUCAAAAACUCUUUACUUUUGCAUAGUUUGUUGAUAAUAUUGUAGGCAGUGUUACAGAAUUGGUCGGAUGAAAAAUGUGUAGAAAUUUUUUAAAGAAUUGCUACAAAGCUUUGCCAGAAAAGGGAAAGGUAAUUGUUAUGGAGAUCAUAAUGCCUGAAGCAAUUCACUCAACAGAUGCAGAUAAAAUGGUGACUGGCUUUGACAAUCUUAUGUUUUUGGAUGCUGGCACCGAAAGAACUGAUAAACAAUUUCAUAAUUUAUCCAAACUCUCAGGAUUUUCUCAUUUUCAACUUGUUUGUCGUGUCUUCUCAGCUUUGGGAGUUAUAGAAUUUCAUAAGUGAAUAUAUUAUCAGUGUGAGUUUCUUAUGUCAAUUGCUUUCUGGUUUGUAUGGUUGAAGUAUCUUCUAUGACAGUUUAAAUUCUUAAAAGAUAAUCUUUUAAAUGAUAAGAACUAUUUACAAAUAGUUAUAUAUUAUCAUAAUAUUCUUCUUAUUCACUUAUAAGAUUGUUUCAAAUAGUUUAUAUCUCCAGAAUCUCCUUUGAAUGACAUAAUCAAAGUAAGAAUGAAGACAAGACCACUCAUGACUCAUCCCAAACCAUUGGAAAAUAUAAACAUAACAGUAAGAAACAUCAGUGUCAACCGUACACAUAAUAACGUUUCUUAUAACUUUGUCUAAUUUUCCUUGGUCCAUCAAUUAUGUUUGAAACCAAGUACUCAUCUUAAAAUGUAGAAACAAGGUUAGAGAGAUCGAAACCCUAAUAAUAUAUACGAAAGUGAUUCUUUGACACACCUAAAUAUUUUUUAUUCAUUUUAAUAUUAUUCUUAUUUUAUUUUAAUCUUCUUUUUUUCUUAAAAAAUAUAAAAAUUUAUAUUUUGUGAUCAUUUUAUUUUUAUAUUUUAUAUUGAAUGAAUGUAAAAGUGUGUUAUACGACUCUCUGUAUGUGUUUGAUAAAAGUUUGAAUGUGUGGAGCAUGUGCAUUGAUUAUAUAAUUAGUAAGCACGUGAUGUGAACCCAAGGGAAUAAAGGUAUCACUUGAGUCAGCAAAUCUCUUAUGGGGAUAUGGUGGGGGCAUAAGAAAGAAACAAUGACCUCAUCUUCAUAAUCAUAUUAUUCCUUACUUGCUUCCUUUGCAACUGAAGAAUAAAAGGGGUGAAAAUUGUAAUUUAAUGUUUUUAUUCUGAAUAUAUACUUGUCCAUGUGUUUUUUAUAUAUAGUUUCGAAUUUUCAUUCAAUUAAUCUAUUUUAUGUUUUCAGUGAAAUAAAUAAGUGGUGUAUGCUGUUACAAUUUCUUUUUCUUUUAAUUUAUUUAUUUUAUAAAAGUAGGGGUGAUCACAGGAAACUGUGUCAGAGAUGAACAUGACCUGAUUGAAGUCUCUUCUUUAUUUUAUCUAGAAUAAUUAAGGUGUAUUAGCUUUCGGAAGCAGUUGAUGCAAAAAUUUUAACAAUUUUAUAAAACUUUUAUUGAUUCAUCUAUUUCUUAUUUUAAGAUUAACAAAUUAAUCUUAGUAUUGUCGACAAACGUGUAAAACUUGAACAAUUUAGAUACAAAGGUUUCUUUAAGUCACUUUUAAUGAAUCAUACACAUGUUCUUGUUAGUAGUUAUAUUUUCCAUUAUUUCAUGAAUUAUAUCUUCCAUGUGAUUACUGAUAAGAACUUCAUCUAUGCAUGAAUAUCUUUCAUCCUUUAGAAAUAGAGAUAGUAUUCAAUCUUCUUCUACUUUCCAUAAACACCUCCUGCACUUCUUCCUUUAUAGAAUUAUUUUCCACACUGUCCUCUUCAUGAACCUGUAAAAAGAAAAGGCUGAAAUGUCUCUGUCAUGCCUAUCUUCAUAUCUUCCCUUCCUUCAACUUUCCUCUUGGAUUCUCAUUAUGCUUGAUGCCCUUUUAAUUUAUUCAAUCUACCAAACUUCAUUACACAUUUAAAAAUAAGGACCUAAAUGUAAAUCUUACACUAGUUCAGAAAGGGCUUUAGACAUUUGUUAUUUUGGACUUUUAACGUAUGUUAUUUUGAGCUUUUAACGUCUAUUAACCAACCAACGUCAUUACCGGUGACGUCAAUGAGAUGUCGGAUAUCCAUGUAACAGACGUUUAUAAUGACGUCAAUUAGUGCCAUGUCUGACGUGACUAGACGUCGAUAUAGGCUUAACCCGACGUCUAAAGACACAAUAUAGACGUCGAAAUACACAUUAACUUACGUCUAAAAGCACAUAAAGACUUCGAACAUCUCACUAACCGACGUCUAAGGUCACUAUAGACGUCGGUCUUUGCAUUAACCGAUGUCUAAUACAGUCGUUGUGUUUUAGUAUAGUUUUGAUCCUGUCUUUGGAUAGCUUAGUAGCACACUCUGCCUUUGCUAGUUUUCCCCAAAAAAAAACUUGCGUCUUUUGAAUUUGUCAUGACAUUUCAACCCAAAACCGUACCUGGGUUCUUGCUUAGUUCUAUUUUCAACCACAAGAGGGACAAAUUACGGUGAAACGAUAACUAGGCAACGACCUAGGGUCGUUUUUGGGUCGAAACGCCACCAGAAAUCCAAAAGACGCCGCUUUUUCUGGGAAGCAGCUAGCAAAGGAAGAAUGUGGUACUAUGUUACCCCAAGAAAGGAACAAAACUACACUUAAACACAACACAAAGAAAACAAAUUUUAAUCAUUGAACCAGAAGAUAAUCGAUGAAAGACUGAACAAGGUUUAAACGGUAACAAUAAAAAAACACAACCUGGGAUGCAAUGCCGCAAGAGAGAAAAAAUGGAGGAGGAAGACGAUGAUGUUAUCAGAAACAAUAAUGCAAUGCCGCAAGAGAGAAAAAGGAGAGGAGCCGCAAGAGAGAAAAAGGAGAGGAGGAAGACGAUGAUAUCAGAAACUGUAAUGUCGCAAAGAGUCUGUGGUUUAUUUAACAUGAAAUGGGGCGUCGGUUGCUACAGAAACCGGCUUCUAUAUCACAUAGACGUCGGUGAUGUAACUAAUAUGACGUCAAAGAUAACUUUUAAUCUGACUUUUUGAAUGCACAUUAGACGUCCAAUAGCACGGGAGCCAACGUCUAUUGCGCUGAACCGAUUGGCGUUUCAUUUCGUGUUAGGGAAGUAGACGACAGUUGUCCAAGGUGCCGACGUCUAUAACAAUAUAGACGUCGGGGCUCUGUUAUCUGACGUCGAAGUGCCUACGAGUUUGGUGAACAUCAUUAAUUACAUGCACAUAAACGUUGCCCACCGAGAAAUCCGACGUCUAUAUUGCAGAAAUUGAUGUCUUCUCGCCUUCCGGACAUACCAUAGACGUCGGUUUUUUAUUACGUGACGUCUAAGCGCUUGGGAAUCAGGUGAAGAACAUUAAUUGCAGGCAAGUAGACGUCAGUCCCCUAGAAUAACUAACGCUUGUCUUCUCGCCUACCUCAGGCCAUUGGACGUCGGUUUAGGGCAGAACAUAUGUCUUUCCCUAGAAAGCGACGUCUUGAUGACCACCUUAUUUACGAUAAUGCCACCGUUCAUUUGUGGGUGACGUUAAACAAUGUUUUUCACUAGUGUUACUUUUUAUCUCUUAAUAUAAGUAUAUUAUCUCUUCUUAUAAUUACUAAAAAAACCAAGUAGCAUUUUCAUUUAUUGCAUUAUUAAUAACAGCUUAAACCAAAAACAAAAGAAAAAGAUAAAUUUACAUAGUUGCCACGAAUGGCAUAGUGUGAAAGAUAAAAUAGUGGCAUAAUUAAAUGAUUGAAAAUCUGAAAUUGCAAGUAUAUAAUUAGAGGGAAAAAUUAUUUUCAACGAUGAGCAUAAUUAAAACAAGAUUUGAUCCUGUGAUUGUUGUGGUCUGUGAUGAUUCCAAUUGAAACGAAGAAUAAUUAGGUUUUGAUUUUGACUUCACAGUCUACUCUCACCCAAAAGAUUUUGGAAAUAUGAAAUAGUGAAAGAGAUGAGGAGAAAUCUCUCUUGUGUUGAAUAUACACAUAGAGUCCUUUAUUUAUAAUAGAAGAAAUAUGGGUUAAGCCCCAAAAUACAAAUAAGAAAUAUAAACAAACUAAAUAAAAAAUAUAAAUUAUCUAACUAAAGAUAAGAGAUAAAUAUAAACUAAAUAUAAUAUUUCUAACAGGAAACAUGAUAUAUAUCUCAUAAAUUAAGCAUUACACACAGAAUUAAAAGUUAGAAAAAAUAAAAAAAUAAUUUUAAUAUUUGAUGUGCUUGAUCUUGUCUUGAAAAUAAGUGCUUCUCUGGCAAAUUGGAAAGAUGAAAUUAAGUUGAAUGUGAGAUGACAGUGGAAGAUUAUUAUUGUACAUAAAUAAUUAGGAAAAUCUGGGCACGUGGUCUGCCCAUUAAGGAAAGGUGACACUUGAGUCACCAUAUCUCUAUAUUUCGGAUCUCAAUCUCCUCCAUGCCAACAACAACAACUAAUAAUCACAAUUAAUAUAUAUAAUAAAAAUAUACAUACAUAAGAAAUAUAAAUAUAGUCCAAUACCACCAACUAUGUUUUGAUCAAUAGACAAACACUAUGCAAGUUGCACCACCAAAAGACAUCCUUCUUUAACUUGUCUAAAUUUGUAUGCUUUUAUAUUUGUAUUUAUCUAUUAAUUAAGAUAUCAUCUUCAAUUGAAAUUCUUUUCUGUUUCAAAUUGUUAUAUAAUUUAAUGUUCAAAAUUUAAAAAUAAAUAUUAUGAUUAAUUUAAUCCAACUGUAUUUAAUUUUUUUAACAUGUAAUGUUUAAUUUGUUUAUUCUGUUUAUCUCAUAUUUCAUUGUAAUAUAAUUAGUAAUUUUAGUGACAAAAAUUAAUUGGUUAUUAUAGUAACCAAUUUAUAUUUAUAAAGCUAAAAAUUAUUAGUUAAUUAUAAAUAAAAAAAAUGUAAUUAAUUUGUUAAUUGAUUUUUAAAAUUAGUAAUUAAAGUUUUGGAUAUUAAAAGAAUUAGUUUGUGAAUUCGUCACCAGUUAAUUAAAGAGAAAUUUAGAAAUUAAUUCUUUUGGUAACUAAAAUCUUGGUAACUAAUUUUAUAGAUCAACUUACAAACAAUCAUAACUUUUUAUUUAUAAUAGUAGCUAUUUUAAUAAUUAAUAAUUUUUAAUUUUUUAAAUUGAUAUCUAAAUUGGUCAUUAUAAUGACUAAUUAUUUGUUGUCACUAAAUUGAUUAUUAUAUAGAGAUUUUAUUGUAAUGUUUCAGCUUAGAUCUAGAACGGUAUUUAAUACGUAAAAAAAAUUAACAUGGUUGGAUUAAAAGAACUAUAUCUACACAUUUUUAAAAUUUGAGGAGAAAAAUGUGUCAAAGUUUGGGAUAUUAAGGAAUUUCAAGUUCAAGUUUAAAAACUAAAAACAUAUUUAACUCUUAUAUUUAUUUCAGUGUUGAGUAAUUUAUAUAUGUUUUGAAUCUAUGUGUAUUUAUGAUAAAAAACAGAGAUUUUUUUUAGCCCAAAUAUAAAAAUGACAAAUCUCCUACUCAAAUUUUCUCUUUCAUUUUCUAUAUAAAUCUUUGCACAUUCAUCUAAUUCAUUCACACUCAUCUCCUUAUUUUGAUACACAUCUCAAUCAUUGACACUCGUCUCCUCCAUCUACACAAACAUUCCUCAUGCAUACUCUUAUUCUCAUAUUCUUCAUUUACAUUCAUUACCUUUAUACAUUACAUUAAUCUCUUUCAUCCACACUCAUCUCCUUCAUCUACUAUAAUUAUUUUUUUCUAUUUUUUCAUUUGUAUUUUACUUUAUUGAAGAAUAAGUGAUGUUUUUUUUUUUUUAAAGUUAUUGUAAUUAGCAUCUGCCAAACCGAUGCAAAUUUAAUUAAUGUUAAAAAUAUUUAUAGUUUUAGAGUGACAUAAACAUACAACUCAAACUCAAUUAUACUAUUGACUAAUUAACAUUGAUUUCUACUAACAUCGACCAAAACUCAAUGUUAAGUGGAUAUUUUCAUAUAGUGAUUGGAUACAUGGAGUUCUCUAUCUUUACUUCGAAAAAUUGGAUAAUGCACAACUUUAUUAAAUAAAUAUUUUCAUAAAAAAGAAGCAUUGAAAAAAUAUUAGUUAUUAAUGAAUUAUUUUUUAUUAGUAGAAAGACCUAAUAAAUCAAUUACAUCCAACUCUUUCUUUUUUUACAGCAAAAUCAAAUCAAUAUCUCUUAUUUUAUGUUAAAGUUAAAGCAAAUUCAGGAGUAGAAACUAUCUCUAUAUCAUAUCUAUACUUUCUUUCUGUUUUUAUAUUUAUUAUUAUCUCUCCUAUUUCACUUGGAAGUCCACAAAUAUCAAAACUCUCUUUUGUUAUAUAAUCCACUUCGUGGGAUAAUUUUAGGGUUUGUGCCAACACAUUCGAGAGGUCCAUCAAACCACCCAUAACACUAGAUGUAUUUUUUAUUUUCUUUAUCAGAAACAAUUUUUUAUCAACAAUAAUUAAUAUAUAGCAUUAAUAAAGAGAUUAUUUCUGUUUUAUGUUCAGAAAUUUUACCAAUCUUACUUUGAUUGUUUUGGAUUUUUUUUAAAUUAAAAUAAUCAUUAGUACAAACAGCAAGUAAUAAACAAAAGAUUAUACAGGUUUCUAAUUUGGAGAUACAAAACACAUGGCUGUCCCUAGGAUAAGGUGGUCCUAGACCUGUCUUUUGGCCAUCCUACAAGAAAACAUACUAUUUGUAUUUAUAUAAAUUUUAUUAUUAGUUAUGUGUAUUAAUAACUCAAGUAUUUUUAUUUUAUUUUUAAAUAGAGUUCAAACCCUGCUAUAUUUUAAUUUUCUAGAAGGCUUUAAAAAGCUUUUAGAGAAUUGAUACUCGUACAACAUUUUAUAUAAUAUCUGUUUCCUUUUUGUGUGUGUGUUUAUGGCUUCCCAACAUUAUGUAUAACAUGUAAAAGAUGAGCAGAAAGGUGAGAUAUAAAACAUACAUUCAUACAAUGCGGCUGGACGAAUAAAAUUUCUAAAUAUUAAUUGGUUAUUAAUUUUACUUAAAUAAAUUGUCUUUUAAUUUACCAAAUUUAAUAUAUAAUUGGCUACUCACUCUAAUAAGGUUUUUUAUAGUAAAAAACAUAGUAUUAUUAUUAAUUUUUUUGUAACUAUAUUUUAUUUCUUAUUAGAAGUAUUAUUGAUUUUUUUGAACGAAUAAUCUCAUUAAAAUAUUUUACUUGUAGUAAGUUAUAUUUUGAUGGGUAAUACCCUUAUUAGUUUAAAAUGAAAUAUUUCAUUUGAGAUUUAUCUUAAACCUAAAACUAUGUUAGAGUUUCCAUUUUAUCCUAAAAUUAGGUGAAUUCAAUGGUAAGGACACUAUGUCCUACAAAGAAAUGAAAAAAGAAAGCCUAAAACUAUGUUGUGUCCUUCUUCCAUUAACUAUUUAGUCCUUCUUCUUACCACUUUACAUGAAUGGUCCACCAAAUAGGGAAUAUUUUGACAUUUCUUCAUUACUUUUCUUUAUCAAUUAGGCGUGCACCAAUGGCCUUUUCUUAUUAUCAUGGACCCUAAUAUUAGAGGUGUGGUGACCACUAUAGUAGAUUCAAUCAUCUCUAAUUGGUGGGACAAUAGUGUUUCAUACCAUCAUUCUAGAUUGGCCAAUGGCCACUUUAAAUCCAAAGAAUCUAAGUAAAUGAGGGUUAAUUAAAUGAGUUUUCUCUUUUGGAAGGUUGUCAUCCAAAUUUGUUAACUCAUAUACUUAACUCCUAAAGUAUUUGAAGUUCAAUUUUAGGCUUUUAAGAAAAAAAAAUUGUUUAUAUUUCUUUAAAUUUAAAAUAUGUUACUUUUAGUCCUCUAAAUAACCUUUUUUAAAAGAAUAAAAUGGUUUGGAUAAUGCUUAAAGGACUAACCAUCCAUAUUGAAAACACCUUUUUAUCUUGUUUCAUAUUCAAUGUAAAGUAACACGUGUAGCUUAUCAUUUAUAUAACUAUUUAUAUUGCAAUUAGUUUUAACUUGAAUGUUAUUGGAAUAUGGAAACUUUUAUCACCUUUUCUUCUUCUUCUUAAUCCACUUAACUUACAUAUUUAAAAUAAUCAUACAUCAAAUGCAUUAUCUUUUUCGAUUUGUAGCAAGACACAUUCUAAUUCAAACAUUAAAUAAAAUAAGAAAACAAAGUAAGAAACUUUAGGAACUUAUCAUUUUGAGAUCUAUUUUAUUUCUCCGUUUUCUUUUAAUUAAAAAUACUAAUUUUUUUUCCUAUUUUAAAAUUAUAUAUAGUUUUUGUUUUAUAUGCAUUUUUUUUAAAUGAAUGAAGCGAAAAUAAUGCAUAAUUUAUAAAUAAAUAUCAGUAUAUAUAAAAAAUGGAAUAAAAAACGUUUUCUUGAAUUAAUUAAUAAGAUAUAAUUAUUUAACGGAAACACCAUCAUCACCCCAAAGAACUUAUUAAGAUAUAUUUUUAUAUUAUCUUAUUAAGGUAUUAAAAUAUAUUUUGAUAUUAUCUUAAGCGAAUUUAUUCCUAAUUCAAUGUAAUUAUAUUUUAUAAUUAUACUUUACUUAUAUAUUAUACUUUGAUUUUGUUUUUUUUUUAUCGAUAUUCAACUAUCAUAUUAAAUUAUCUGAAAUAUAAAAGAUUGAAAAUAAAAUGAUCCUUAACACUUUUAUAAUCUUGUUGUGCUGCAGAUUGGAUUCAGAAUGGAGAAAUAUAUUUAAUUUCUAAAACUGUACUCGUUUUUACAAAUAGAAUCUGGCCAAAUAUGAAUUAAAAUACUCUUUGCAUCAAAAGAUCAGAAUGAGAAAUAUUUGCAAUAUUUUAAUCACUCACAUGAUCGUGCUCCAAUUAUAAUAUUUAUCAUUUAGAAUAAUAAACUUUGACUCCUGAAAGAAAAUUGGAGAUUAGAGAGGCAUAAUUUGAAAGCCAAUUUUAUAUAUAUGCCGGUGACAGAACAAUUUCUCAGGCAGAAAAGACAAAAGGGUAUUCUUUUAUAUGACAGCAUAUUUCUAAAAGGAAAAUUUUGGAAUAUUAAAGACUUGUAAGUGGUAACUACCUUUUUUUUUUAAUUAUUUUAAUUAAAGUUUAUGUUCCUGUUAAACAAAAUAAAAAAUGGGAACAAAUCAUAAAAGAGCAUAGAAACUAUAUGUGAAAAUAUAAAUAUAGUUUAUGAUUGUGUAUUCACUCUUUAAUUUUGUUAUUUUUGGAUAUUUUACUGGUCAUAUGAAAAAAUAUAAGGGAUUUUUGGUUUUUUGUUUUAUUAUGAUUUUGAUUCUAUACGCACAAUGUUAAAACCUUAGAGCUUUAUCUGAUUUUGUAUAUGGAUUAAGAUCGAUAAUGUCUACAUAUAGUUUAUAAUCAUAUCUUUCCCUUUUCCAAUGUAAAAAAUAGUUUUGCAACAUUAUUUAAUUACAAAAUCAUUAUACAAAUUCUAAGAUGUUUAAAAGUAAUUGCAUAAGAUUUGUUUAUAUGAACUUACAAAAAAGAAAAAAGAAAAAAAUAUAGAAAAAGGAAACAUUAAAAUCAAUUAAAAAAAACAAAUAUAUAAAAAUCAUCAUCCUAUGUUAAUUUCCUUAAAAUAUAACUUUAACUUACAACAAACUAGUUUUAGUUUACAGAUAAAUUUAUUUGAUAUUUAUUUUCUUUUCUUUGAAGUGAUUAUGUGAAGUUCAUCCAAACAAUUUUUUGGACCAUUAUAUGUUAACAAUAAUUUUUUUUAACAAUUUUUUUACAAUAGAUUAUGUGUCACUAUUUUAUUGAUCUACAUAUUUGAAAUGGACUAACCACGAAUUAUCACAUAAACGAUGUAAAAAAGGUGUCAAAAAAAGUUGUUAAAAAGACAUUUUCCCAAUUUUUUAGUGAAAGGCACCAUAUAUAAAACUCGAAAAAUAUAUCUUUAACAAUUUUUUUUUAUUACUUUUUUACAAUCGUUUUGUGACCGUAUGUGAUUUAUCUGUUUCAAAUAUACGAACCAAUAAAAGAGUGACAGUUGUCAAAAAAUUGUUAAAAAAGUUGUUAAAAUAUCAUGGUCGAUAAAAUUGAGCAAAUAUGCAAGUGCAUGACAUAAUUUGAUUUUUUUUUUUUUUAUGAUUGAAUAAAUGAGAAUGUUCGAAGAAAGAGCAACAAAGAAGAGUUUGAAAAAAUUGUAUAAAUAAUUUAGGUCAAUAUUGGCUCUUAGAAAAAAGAGCAGAGACAAAAGAUUUGAUUAGUAAAAAGAAAAUUACGUUUUGUUUGUAUAUAUACAUAUAUAUUGUAGUGGUACGUGGGUGUGUAAUAGUGGUAAGCAUGUCAUGCACGUGCAUGGAAUAGAAUAGAGUCCACAGGACUCUGAAGAGUGAUGAGAAGAAUGACGACAACAAGGUUUGAUAAUUAAGAUUAAUAGUUUGGUCUGAUGAAAGGGUAAUGGAUUAAGGAGAAGAGAAGAGAACAGUGGCAAUAGUUUUUUGUCUUUAACUCUAAGCAAAAGGUUGAAAUAGAAUAAUGAAAAGAAUAGUAAUAAUGAACAAGUCAGAUUUUGAGUUUGGUACAAUAACAGCACUUUCUUUGCUUGUUUUUCAAUUCAAAAAUCAACCCAAAAGAUCCGCCAGAUUCUUGAUGAAAUCUGUCGGAUCUUGCUUUCCAAACUGUCAGAUUUCCUUCCUGGAUUUUCUAUCUUCUUGACCUUUUUAAAUCUCUUCAUGCCACCCUCUUUCAUCACUCUUUUCAUCUUUUUCUCUUCUUCUUCUCUUAUUCUUCUCCUGUUUUCGCCUGCAACUGCACACAUCAUUAUCAUAAUAAUCAUGGGUAUGGCUGCAGACGCACAGUUUCAUGUUUUGGCUGUCGAUGAUAGCCUUAUCGACAGAAUGUUGAUUGAGAGACUCCUCAAAACCUCUUCUUUUCAUGGUAAUUUUGUUAUUAUUUUCUUGUGUGUUGUCCUCUUUUUUGAAAAUUUCAGAUGGGGUGAAAUCCUAUUCAUUUUGGUAUGUUUUGUGAUUACAGUUACUGCUGUGGAUUCUGGUAGUAAGGCUUUGAGGUUUCUCGGUUUGGUUGAAGAUGAAAAGAGAACUGAAGAGCCUCCCACCAUUGCUUUAGAAGCCAAUCAGGUUCAGUUUUACUGCAAAAAAUUUAAAAAAGAUGACACAUAGUUAGAAUGAUUUAUGAGAUCUAAUUAAUCCCUUUUGCUUAUUGUAAUUGCAGGAUGUAGAAGUAAACCUGAUCAUAACUGAUUACUGUAUGCCAGAAAUGACAGGGUAUGAUCUGCUGAGAAAAAUCAAGGUAAAACAUGUUUUAAUUAUGUUAAUUAACUCAAAUGAGAUAUUUGUGUAGCUUUAAUGAUGGCAAAUCUGAAACCAAUCUUGUGAUGUGGAUGUUGCUGGAAUCUUGUAUGAAUAACAAAAAGUUAUUGAUUUGCAGGAAUCUAAAUCUCUUAAAGACAUACCAGUGGUGAUUAUGUCCUCAGAGAAUGUUCCAUCAAGGAUCAACAGAUGCCUAGAAGAUGGAGCUGAUGAAUUCUUUUUGAAACCAGUUCAACAGUCAGAUGUAAACAGGCUCAGACCUCAUCUGAUGAAAUCAAAAGUUAAGGAUGAAGAAGAGGAACAGAUGAAUAACAAAAGGAAGGAAACAGCAGAAGAAGAAGAAGAAGAAAAGCAUUCCCCAGAUAAAAGCAGGACAAAAAUGGAGCCUUAAAAACAUGAUGAAACAUCAUAGAUUGUACCUAAAACAUUUACCUCUCCUCUGCCUCACCAACUAACAAGUGAGAAGAGUAGAUCGCACCUCAAUCAUACUAAAGAAAUCACUAGUAUAGCACCUGACAACAAAUUUCAUUUUUCAUUCAAUUUUCUCUGAUACAUAACUUAUACUUUCUUCUCUCUUAUGUCUCCAAUUCACCACAACAUUUCUUCUUUCUGGUAUCUUAUGUUGGAAGGAUUUAAAUUUAGCUGAAUUCAUAAUAUAUAAAUAUAUAAAGUACAGUGUAAAUUUUAUUUUACAAAUCAAUUCUACGAAUUAGAUUUAAAAAUCAUUUACAAAUUGAUUCUACGUAGUUGAGUUAGACUUAAAAAUCAGUUACACUUAAAAAUCAGUUAUUGUAUCGUAUCACAAUCAGAUUAGAGUCUAUAGAUAAAUUCUUAGAUUCUCAAGUCAUUACAGUUAUUGUUAAAAAUAUAAAACUGAGUAAAAACUACAAAAAUAGGUUGCCAAAUCAUAAUUCAAAUCAAUCCGAAUCUUAGAAUUUCAAAUCAAUACAUAUAAACUAUUUCUUUCAAGCAAACCGUGUUGAAUGGCCUGGGUGUAUUUUAAAACCAAUUAAUAAAAAAUAACCUAUUUAAAACCAAUGUGCUAAUAUUUUAAUAAUGUUUUUUUUAAUUUAUUUAUAGGUGUAACUUUUUUGCCUGAAAAUAUUUCACUUUAAAUAUAAAAGAAAUUUAUAUAUAAAUUUUCUCAUAAAGCUUAAAGAAAUGAGAAACAUCGUUGUCACUGUGAAGUCUUUCUAUAGGAUAAUGAUACUUUGACAUCUAGAAUGUGACAAAUUUUUGACAUCGCCACGUGUCAUAUUCUGGGUGGUCCACAUGUUUUAAAAAAGGAAAAUGAUAGUUUGACACCCUUUGGCUGACAAAUUUUUUACACCAAUGACGUGUCAGCCUCUCGUUGGUUCAUCCUUAAAAAAAUAAAAAAAAUAAAUAAAUGACGUGGAAAAUGGAGGGCGGUAUCAGAAAUUGGAACAAAUCAUUUUCUGAAAUUCAAAUUCAUUCUCAGAUCUUGAAAAUGAAACCUAGAGAGAGAACGAAACCCUCCCAACGACCAAAGCCCCUUGACAACUCCACCGUCGUUCGCCAUUCAAUGGCCACCAGAGGUUCACCAAGAGGCGGCGCCGCCGAUCAUCUUCGCGUCUCUUCCCACCGAUCAUAAGCAGUCUCACUCUCGCCUCUGUCACACUCACCCACCAGUCACCGUUGUCGCCAUUGAAGGAGUUCGGAGUUCACCAGAGGUAAUACCGUUCACCGCAACCGUUCCACCGUUAGCUGCUUACGAAGCCAGAAAACGCCAUUAGAGGUCGGUUUUCGAAGUUCUUUUCAUUUAUUUCGCUAUUGGUUAGCUUUUGUUCGGUGGGUUUAAUUUUUCUAAAACUUUUUUAAGCAUUUAGGUUUUGUCUUGAUAAAGUUGAAUGUUUUUCCGAAGUUUUUGUUGAACAUUUGGUUCAAAAUGUCCUUCAUUAGUGGAAAGUUCAAAAUGUCACCACGGAAGUUUAAAAUCGCAAACAAACCUGAUACUCUGGAACGAGUUCUUUCAACUCAUAAUAAAGAUCCUUCAAUAAUCCACAUAAAAGAAAAAUAAAACUUAGUUUAAAAUUUAUAACCAACUUCACGCUAUAAUAAACAUCAAUUAGUCUAAGGUAUCCUUCAUUCCCAAAUUCCAAAGAGAAAUUAUACUAGAAUACCCAAUUCCAAACUUCACCACAAUAACAGUAUUAGCAACACCCUUCUCAGAUUAAACACUGUUCAGAGUAAACUUUUCACCAAGCACCAACGACAAAGAGAUAAGGAUAGAGGAAAAAAGAAAAUACAGUGUUACUGGAGCUUGGAGUUUGGAGCCAUCUAAUUGAAUUCGCGAGAUUAGAUUGUUGACCCUGUCAUUCCAUUGUAAAAGUUAAAAUCAGCAAGUAACAUAAACAAUAAACAAUAAACAAACACAAACAACGCCAAAAACAAAACAGUUAGUUACUGUUUUCCUCAGUUACCACGCGAGAGCGAAGCCGAGAAAGUGCAACUUCUGAAGAAUGCCAUUUGCACUAGUACAACAACAACCUAUACCGGCUUUCAGUGUUGGGAACACAUGAAAUAAGCACUAAAAAUCUUUCACAAAAAAUCGGAUGAAGCACAUGUCGGACGAAAUGUUCAACAAAAACUUCGAAAAACAUUCAACUUUACCCAGACAAAACCUAAAUGCCUAAAAGAGUUUUAGAAAAAUUAAACCCACCGAACAAAAGCUAACCAAUAGCGAAAUAAAUGAAAAAAAGCUUUGAAAACCGACCUCCACUGGCGUUUUCUGGCUUCGUAAGCAGCUAACGGUGGAACGGUAUUACCUCUGGUGAACUCCGAACUUCUUCAACGGCGACAACGGUGGCUGGUGGGUGAGUGUGACAGAGGCGAGAGUGAGACUGCUUAUGAUCGGUGAGAAGAGACGCGAAGAUGAUCGGCGGCGCCGCCUCUUGGUGGACCUCUGGUGGCCGUUGAACGGCGAACGACGGUGGAGUCGUCAAUGGGCUUUGGUCGUUGGGAGGGUUUCGUUCUCUCUCUAGGUUUCGUUCUCAAGAUCUGAGAAUGAAUUUGAAUUUCGGAAAAUGAUUCGUUCCAAUUUCUGAUACCGCCCUCCAUUUUCCACGUCAUUUAUUUAUUUUUUUAUUUUUUUAAAGAUGAACCAAUGAGAGGCUGACACGUAAUUGAUGUCAAAAAUUUGUCACCCAAAGGAUGUCAAUCUAUCAUUUUCCUUUAAAAAAUAAAAUGACAGAACAUGGAUUCAAUGUGUAGUGACAGACCUGGUAUCAAUGUACAAAUAACGCAGAUUCAAAAAUGUUCUUCUCGUGCUAAAAAUUAGCCUAAACUACCCACUUAUUUGUACAUUAAUACCAGGUCUUUCACUACACAUUGAAUCCAUGUUCUGUCAUUUUAUUUUUUAAAACAUGUGGACCACCCAGAAUGUGACACGUGACGAUGUAAAAAAUUUGUCACAUUAUGGAUGUCAAAGUAUCAUUAUCCCUUUCUAUAAUAUGUGGUGGUAACGAGUAUGAGACAAUUAUUACCUAAGAAUGAACUUUUUUUAAUUAAAAUAUCUGAUUAUAUUUUUAUUCCCUAUAAAGUAAGUGAGAUUUGAUUUUGGUUUUAUGAGUAUCAGAAAAUUAACAUUUUAGUGUUGGAAAAAGUCUUCCACUAUAAAUAAAUAAUGCUUAGGUAAAAGAGAUUUGGCAUUGAUAUACAUACACUUUAUAUGUCAACUUUAAGGUUUACUUACGUGGAUAAAUUUAAAUUUUAGGGUUUUAUUAAUAAUUUUGUUUAAAUUUUAUUUUAUUAAUUUUAGGUCUAGUAAUAUUUAAUUUGAUUUGACAGAGAGAUAAAAUAAGGAUGAGUAGUUAUGAUUUUCUAUUUAUCUAGGUAGAAUAUUAUUUUAUAAUAGAAUAAACAGAUUUUAUUUGUAAGUGAGUUGAUAUUUUAUUAUCAGUUUUUAGAGUGUUUCAUCCUACACCUCCGAACUCUCAUCCUGCACCUUCAAAAAUUACCAUUUUAACCUUAAUCAUCAUUAUUUUAAUAUUUUCUCUUUCUUCAUAAAGUCAUUCUGCACCCUCCUCUAACUUUUUCUCUUUCUUAUUAAAGUCAACCUACACCCUUCUAACUUUUUCUCUCUCUUAUUAAAGUCAUCCUAUACCAUUUUAAUAGAUUUUAAAAUCUAUACAGUUUUUUUCUAUAAAUUUUUUAAAUUUCAUUUUGAGUUUUAAAUUUAAUAAUUAUUUAAUUUAAUUUAAAAUUUUAAUAUUAUUUAAUACACGUUUAUAUCUUAAUAAUUAUUAAAGUAUAAUUUUUAUUCUUAUAAUAGUUAUGUUAAAAAAAUAAAAAUAAAAGUAACUAAAAUAAAAGUAGUAAUAAUAAAUAUUAAAAAUUUUGUAAAUAAAAUUAUAUACAAAUUUUUGAAAUAUGUNNNNNNNNNNNNNNNNNNNNNNNNNNNNNNNNNNNNNNNNNNNNNNNNNNNNNNNNNNNNNNNNNNNNNNNNNNNNNNNNNNNNNNNNNNNNNNNNNNNNNNNNNNNNNNNNNNNNNNNNNNNNNNNNNNNNNNNNNNNNNNNNNNNNNNNNNNNNNNNNNNNNNNNNNNNNNNNNNNNNNNNNNNNNNNNNNNNNNNNNNNNNNNNNNNNNNNNNNNNNNNNNNNNNNNNNNNNNNNNNNNNNNNNNNNNNNNNNNNNNNNNNNNNNNNNNNNNNNNNNNNNNNNNNNNNNNNNNNNNNUAGAUUUUAAAAUCUAUUAAAGUAGUGUAGGAUGACUUUAAUAAGAGAGAGAAAACUUUAGGAGGAUGUAGGUUGACUUUAAUAAGAAAGAGAAAAAAUUAGAGAGGUGCAGAAUGACUUUAUGAAAAAAGAGAAAAUAUUAAAAUAAUAUUGAUUAAGGUUAAAAUGGUAAUAUUUGGAGGUGCCCGAUGAGAGCUUGGAGGUGUAGGAUGAAACACCCCAGUUUUUAUUUGUAUUUGGCCCAAUGUCCGAUUUACAUCUAUUUAAAGAUUAUCAAAAUUUAAUGAAAAUAACCUAGAAUGGAUUGAAGUGUAAAAUUUUUUUGUGUGGAUCACUGUUUUUUAACACUUUUUCCUUAAUAAACCCAACAAUAUGUAGUGUGACUGUUAUUAGUAAGUUAACAAAAGUUUUACUUAGUGUUUUUAUCAACAAAUGUAUUUGUCGAUAAAUAACAAAAAUAAAAAAUAGCUGUAUUAAAAUUGCGAGACUAAAUUUUAUAACUGUAAUUAUUAUUUUUAGUAAAGGAAUACUUUAAUAUAAUUGGACGAGAGAUUAUUAACAAUCUGUUUACCCAAAUAUAAAUCCUUUCAUUUACAAAAUUCAUUAGCUUCAGUCUACAAGCACGAAGUAAAAAUAUAAUAGUUUCUUACAUGAAAAUUUGUUACAUAUAUUUAUCCUAAUUAUCAAUUGAUUUUUUUUUUCAGUGGUACCAUUUUAAAAAAGAAAAAUAAUAGAAACUAUUUAUCAAAAUCAUAGCCAAAAAUACCAUAAUAAAAUAAUAGAAUGGAGCAUAAACAUAAAGAUAUUCUAAACGCAACAAGAGUAGUAAGAUUUCAAGAAAACUUUCCCUUUUAUAUUUGGGGUGAAUGCAUUAUAAAUGCAGACUACUUGAUUAAUUUGACACCAUCCUUCAUUCUUGAUAGGAAAACUCCAUAUGGGUUGAUCCAUCGCAAACUUCUACCUAUGAUCACUUGAUAGUCACUUUCAUAUGCUCAUAAUCAACAUUAAAAAAAAAUAGAUAAAUUCAAUAGUAAAAGUCAUAAAUGCAUUUUUGUUGUUGGCUAUUCAGAAAAAAAAAAUGGUGUUUGACUUAGAAAAAUAUGCUUUUUUUUCUUCUUGAUUUUAAUUGAUUAUCUCAUCAGUAUAGUCUAUACUUUCUCUGUGAAGUACAUUUCUUUGAGAAUUAAGGAUGUCAUCAAAAUUAUAGUUGUUUAAAGUAAACUUAGAAAGGGUUUUCAUCAAAUACUUAAAUCUUUCUAUCUAUUUUGGAUAAUUCUCAUAAUUAGGUGCACUUUUCUUACAAUCACAUACAAGGUUUUUGUGGGCAUUUUUUAGAGUUAUAAAGUUAGUUUUUAGAUUUUUAUUUAUAUUUGACCUAUAAGCACUGGACGUAAUAACCCUUUUUUAUAUCUGACACUUACAAGUUAAAUAUAAAUUUUGAUCAUUUAAUUACAAAAAUACCACCACACUUUUUUAACUUAUAUGUCACAUGUAAAUUCAGUGACAUAAUAAGUUAUUUUUGUGUUAGUAUAAUUAUAUUUAUAAUGUAUAUAACCAUUGCUAUUAUACAAUUUAUAAUAUCUUAUCAUCAUCAUAAAUGUGUUUUAAUAUUUGAUUGAUAGAUUAAAAGAUUAUUAUAAAAGUUUGUUAUAUAUAAUAUAUAUAAAAUCUAUUGUUUUAAAGAUUGAAAGGUGAGAAGAAUAUGGAACCAAGUAAUAACCAAUCCUAAAAUUUUGAUGAAGGAUUCACUGGAAUACAUCCAAGAUGAUAAAGUUCUUAAAAGGCAAGUUUCUUUAACAAUUUCACAUCAAAGAUCUAAAUCUUUGAGAAAAGCUCCUUUUCAAAGGAUUGUUUUUGCUCUACAAAUAUUUUAUUCAUAAAAAUGGUGACAACCCUUCUUAUCCAUUGCCUCAUGAAAGCUUUAGAAAUUAUGUCUUAUAUUAUAACAAUCCAUUGCAAAGAAACUCACAAAGAAUUAUGUGAAUGUUAAUUUAAAUAGAUUUUUUCUCAAUAAAAAUAAAGCAAGAAGAAUAUCUUUUACUAAGGUUGAAUGAUGAUGAAGAUAUGGAUGAAGGAGUAGAGGUUUGUGUCUAUUAUAAUAAUAAUAAUAAUAAUAAUAAUAAUAAUAAUAAUAAUAAUAAUAAUAAUAGGAAAUAUUUAUACUCUAACUUUCAAGAAUUGGGAAAAAAAUAUUAUAUCUUGAGUGAUAAGGGGAAAACUUUCUUCGAAUAAUCAUAAAUGACAUAGUAAUGAUACCAUUAUGAAUGUUUGUCAUCCAAAAAAUAACAAGUUAUGUGUUGUUCUUGAAUUUGAAAAGAUUAAAAGGUGAAAAGGACCUAUAAUGGUUGACUCAAUGGAAGAGUUUCAAACUAUAUUAAUUAGUGUCAUUAGUCUUUUAUUUCAGAUCUAAAAAGAAAGAAUAAAGUUAAAAAGCAUUUCAAACACUAGUAAUCGGAAACACCAAAAAGGGACUACAGAGACUUGAAGGCACCUUCUUCAUAUUUUCUUUUUAUUCAAUUUUCUUCUUUAAUUCUUUGUUCUAGCUGAUGAAUCAGUGAGGCGUGAGAGAGGACCUCAUGUUAUACAGAUCUUGUACUACAGAUCAUACCAUAUGAAAAUCAGUAAGGAUUGUCAAACUUAGUGUUAAAAUAGACUUUACAGAAAAACUUGAAUAUCAUCACAGAUUCAGAACUUCUUGAGAAAAAUUUAGACACGUGAAGUAAACUUACUUCCACAAGCAAUAUGAACCAUGGAGCCAUUGUUAGAAAAUGGUGAUUGACACAAACAAUUGGUUGCUGCCUUCUUCCCCAAACAUCAAAUAUAAGUCAUGCAGAAUAAGAAAGUGGAGCUAGAGGAAAGUGAAGAAUAAGGCAAAUGAUCGGGGUGGACUUUUAAGCUUUUUGGUAAUCUAAAUGAAUUCAUAGAUUGGGGAGGCCAGAUAACAUGCACUUAAGAAUAUACACGGAAAUUGGAUUAGUGAACUACCACCAAGUCCUUGGCUCAAUUAAUAUACCUGAGAUCGGUUGGAUUAAAGGCAGAGACAAUAGCUAAUGGGAUAUGAGCAAUUUUUGACCAUUCUUCACCAUGUCCUCUAGCACAUCUUCCUUCUAGCAUUGAGCAAUUAUAUAUGCAGAGUCGUUGUAAAGAUACAAGAUUCCGAAUUCCAUCAGGUAUUGAUUUCAAACAAUAGCAAUUACUGAUUUCAAGACUCAAGAGUGAUGAGAGAUUCCCUAUCCAGUCUGGUAAACUGUUGCCACAAUAUCCAUCUAUUACUAGUCUUUUUAUUGAAUGAUGUGGCUGCAGGCCUUUCAAUAUCUUUUCGUCUUUUAUUUUAUUUUCAUCGUCCACCCAUCUGUUUUCUUCUUCCUUACGUCUAUUUUUAACAGGAUCCUUCCGAUAUUUAGUCUCACGGAACCCCCACCGUAAUUCCAAAUCUUGAAGAUGUUGCUUCUCCAGUAAUAUGUUUGCAGACUCAACCACUGCAGCAUUUUCUCGCAGGGAAUCCAAGCAUUUAAUUACUAAUUUUCCUCUAAGGUUGUUUAGCCCACUCAAUUCACUUAUAUCAACGUUUUUACUUUCAGAGUCCAAUAUAAAAUGUGUCAGUGUUUGAAGAUUGGUCAAUUGUCCCAACCCACAUGGCAUACAUCUCAAUUCCCCACAAUCAUUCAAUUCAAGAUGCCUAAGACUUUUGUUGAUAUCUGAGGGUAAUUCUUUAAAUUUGCCACACCGAGAUAGUUUUAAAGUCUGCAAGUUAUGUAGGCUAGUAACAUCUGGUGGAAGACUUACCAGAAACCUAUUAAAUGAAAGAUCAAGAUAUCUCAAUUGCUUCAACUUUCGAAUACUAUCUGGAAUUGUUAUCAAAUGCAACCCACAGAGUGUUAACACCCGUAGGCACUUUAUGCUUAAGAGAAAAGGAAAAUGAAGACUUGGCGGAGGACCCAAAUUUUGUCUUCCAUAAAGUGGCUCUGGCUGUCCAAGCAAAAUAAAUGUCCUUAACUUGUUGGAAGAUGAUGAUGUUUUCUCUGAAAAAUGUAAUGAAGUACAAGAGGACAAAUAACGUGUUCUGUUUUCAAUGUGCUCUUUUUUUCCUUCAACAAAGGCGUAUUCUUUUCCAACAACAAGCUGUGCUAGAUCAUGUAUCAGGUCAUGCAUUUUACAAGUAAGAAUGUCACCACAAUCAUCUAAAGUCACAUUUUGGAAAAGUGACAUUGACAGCAAAUUCAUGAAGUACUCAUGACCAACAUCUUCUUCACAUCUAUUGUCUCGUGAUGGUUGAAUGAACCCCUCAGCCACCCAUAACUGAAUGAGUGUUUUCUUGUCAAACUCAAAAUCUUUUGGAAACAAUGAACAAUAAGCAAAACACUUUUUCAAAAAUGAAGGAAGAUGAUCAUAACUCAGUUUAAGGAUUGAAAAAAUGUUGUCCUUGUGUUGAUCUAUCUUUGAAAACUCAACUUCACUAAAAUAUUGCCAAUCACUCCGACCCAAGUUUCGAGAGUACAAGAGGCUGCCAAUAGUUCUUAUGGCAAGGGGAACCCCAGCACAUUUUUUAACAAUAUCCCUUCCCAUGGCUAACAAUUCCAUAUCAUUUGGUUCUUUCCCCCCAUCAAAAGCCACUCGAGAGAAUAGCUUCCAAGAUCUUUCUAAAUCAAGACCUUUCAAGAAAAGGGGUGGAUGUGUGGCUACUAUUUUCGCCACAGUCCUACUACGUGCUGUUACAAUUAUGGCACUUCCUUUACCUCCUUCCACGACUAAGCUCUUGAAUUUAAGCCACAGUUCCCUAUCCUCAUUCCACACGUCAUCCAGCACAAGUAGAAACUUUUUUCCACGAACUUUGUUUCUAAGAUCUUGCUGUAGUUGCUCAAUCUCACUAUUCUUAUCAUUCCCAAUCAUCUUUUCGGCUAUUUUGCUGAUGUCAAAUUCAUCUGAGACACACACCCACAUUUUCUGCUCAAAAGAGCAUUGGACAGCAUUGUCAUUAAAAACAAGUUGAGCGAGGGUAGUCUUACCUAGUCCUCCAAACCCAACUAUGGCUAAUACAGACACAUUGUCUAUCACACUCACUUUGGUGUCAAGCAAAUAACUUUCAAGAAGUUUCUUUUCCUCCUUUCUCCCAAUAACAUCAUCUUCUCUCACAAAAGAAUAAGUUUGUCUCUGCCUCCUAUAUGCAAUUGGAGUCUCCAUAGGGCGGUCAGUCAAUUGCAAAGUAAUCUUGUUUUUAGCAAUAGCAUCUAGCCUCUUCUGGAUUGCUUUCAUUUGAUGACCUAAUUUAAAACUAUAGACAAUUUGGUUUUCUUGGGAGAAGAAAACCUGUAUCUUUCUCAAGAUUUUUCUAGCACCAAUCACUUUUCUUUUCAUUGCUUCAGAGGAGAUAUCAUUGAGCAAGUCAUCUGCAUCAUAAAGUACAUCUUUCAGCUCCUCCAACCAAUUACUGAUUUGAAGGUUGUUGGCCUUUCCCUCUGCAUCCAGGAGCACAGCCUUUAUUGCAGAUACUGUGCGCUUCAUUUGCUGUACGUCAUCUUUGAGAUUCCAAAUGAUUCCAAACUCCUCUUGAGCAAAAGAGUUCAAGUUUUGUAAUACUAUCUGAGCAAUUACUUCCAUCCUUUGCCAGAUGAAGUUUGGUACAAACAUUAGUAACAACAAUGUUAGGGAUCAAACAAUUUCACAGCCAAAUGUAGUUUUGUACAGCAUUAGAUAUCAAAUAAUUUCACAUCCAUAACAACAAAUGAAUCCUUUAAAAAAUAAAGUGUGGCCAGCUACAUGGGUGACAGCCACCAUAAUGUUCUGUUAUAAAUCAUAUCAUUUUGAUUGUGAGCAAUAUCCUCACAGUGGGUGUUACCUCUCCUGAAAAAUUCUUCUCCAUACACACAAUCAGGGAAUCAAACCCUUUAAUUUGCUUAAAGAACUCAGUUAUCUACGAUUUGUGUUGAUAUGUUAUAAAUCAGAUUUGAGGAGAAAUCAUUGACCUUGGAAGUCAAAUAGUCUUGUUGCAUAUAACAAGAAAGGAGCAGACAAAAUUCCAGUUAAGAUGAUAAAAAAAAUCAACGAGUUCUACUAACGUUUUCAAAACAUAUUGAUUAACUGAAUAGGACGCGAUUACAGAAACCAGAAUUAAAAUAAAAAAGUAAAAAUGAUGGGUGUCUAUAUAUGUUGGAAUUGAGAGAGAAAAUUCCAGAGUAAUGAUAUUAGUUGCAUGGUUUAUGAUGAAAUUAAGUGGUGCUAUCUACAAUAGAACAUCUUAUUGGUUGAAUACCUAAGAAAGUUAGAAUUAGAGAGACAGGGAGAGAUAGCUGACCUGCUUUGGAAAAAGGAGUGUAAAUGCAGGGGCAACAGUUGUGGGCAAGUGUUGAAUAUCAAGAGAUAUGAGGAGCCACCCAUAUAAGGGAAAUAAAAAUAAUAUAAUAUUAUUUUCACAAGUAACAAAUUUUUAUACAUACUUUAAAUUCAUUCUGUACCUUUUAACUAGCAUGGUUUAAACUAACACGUAAUCUGUGCAUAUGUUUAGAGGAAUGAAUACUUUAAUAAAAAUUAUGUAAUUAAAUAAAAGUUUACCAUACUGUUUUAUUAUAUAUUGGUUUUUUUUCAAGAUUGAACUUUAUAAAUAUUUUGUUAACUUUGAAACAAUGUAAUGUUUUAAAAAUUAAAGAUGAGAUAAACUAUUACUGAAAUUUAAAUACAAAAAAUUAGUUUAAUAUUUUAAAUAUCAUAUCUUAUUAUAUUUUAUAUAUAUAUAUAUAUUGCAAAGUAAAAUAAAUACAUAAUUCAAGCGCACAAUAUUUAUUUUAUAUUUAAGUUGGAAAAUAUCUCAGGAAAAAAUUUAUUAGGAAUGAAUCCAACUUUAUUUGUGUCAAUAUAUUGUGAUUGUAAAUUAAUAAUUGCUAUACCUAAACAUAAAAACUACGAUUAAAAGAACAAACAUAUAUAAUUAAACAUAAUUUGGUGAAACAACUAUUAAAGAAUGAGAUAUUUUUCAUUCACUGUCUGAAGUUAGAAUGUGAAAUCUAGCACAUCCUUUAACGAAAUCCUUGUGAAGAAAUAUGGUUUUAGAAUCAUUUAGGAGAAUAAGACUUAAACCCUUUGCAAGUAAACAAAUGAUAGUAACUCAACUUUUAUGAUUGAAGAUCCAUGAAUAAGGUUUAUAUAGGUAAAAAUAAAUCACUUGUUGGUUCAUAUAACACUAAAUUGAUUUUAAAUCAAUUAUGUACAUUCAUAUGGUGUGUGUCAAUGUGUUAGAUACUACAUUAUUGAAAGGUUAGACUUUGUAAUUAAAAUCCUAGUGUAAGAAUUUUAGUCUAACAAAGUUUUUAAUGUUUUUCAUAUCUUUUAUGGGUGGGUUGUAUGAUUUGCAACAUACGCUUGAUUAAAUUACCUACAUGAGUGUCGAGUGUGGUGACUUGCAUGAGAUCUUGGAAUAAUUUUUAGAACACUUGUAAAUACUAGACACACGCAUCGCCUAUUAAGCACAAUACAACAAUAUAACAACAAAAAUUAUGAUGAUGUAUUGUGAUUGAUAAACCGCUAAGACAUAUUAUUGUUCUUGGUUUAUAUAACUUAUUAUGUCAACUACAAUAUAUGUUAAGUUUCUCAAUAAGAGUACAUAUUCUAUAAAGGUUUGCUUUUAUAAAAAAAGAGAAAGAGAGAGAGAAAAUAUUACAUAUAGAGAGAUUUUUUAUAUUUUUUAUUAUGAUAAAAAAAAUGGGAGAAAAUUUUUAAAUCUUAAAUGUCUUAAGAAAUUGUUUAAUGCUUUCCUCUUUUGUAGUACGUGUUUUUGUAGGUUUAUUACAAAUACUUUAAAAAAAUUGAAUACCAUAAAAAAAAAGGAGAAAUUGUUGACUAAAGAAAAAGAUGUUGGAAGUUUUUUAGUUUAUUUGUAUGGAAGUUUUUUAGUUUAUUUGUAUGAUGAUACUAAGUAAAAAGAUGAAAUAGAAGUUAAUGAUUAUUUGGAAGGCUUGUAUUUUGUUUGUUGUAAUGUUUUGAUUUGUAAUGUCUUUAUAAUAUUCUUGUAAUACUUGUUAAAGUAUUUUAGCUCAAGUCUAGAGAGUCAUAAAGUAACAACAUUUUGAAACACUAAGGAAAAACAAUUUUUUAAAUAUACACGAUGAUAAUCGAUUAUCACCUAUGACAAUUAACUAUUGCAUAAAGAAAUUAUUUUCGAAAAAUAGUUUUCGAUUAUAACUUAACUUUACAUAUUGUUAACCUAAUUCCAAAAUUUGGCUUUAUAAACGAAGUAAGGAAUUCUCUUUCAAAAAUAUAAGAGUUGGGUUAUAAUUUUAUGUGAAAAACUUUGAAAGCCUUUUGUGGAUAGAACAAUAACUUUAAUCAAGUGUGAUCUUGAGUGACUGAGUACAAAUGUUCUUGUUAAGUGAAACUAUUUAUCCUUUGUGUGACUCAAAUAAAGUGUUUAUACCUUGUGGAUUUUAUUCUUUCGUCUUUUGUAUAACUCAAGAGGAGUGUUUAAUUUUUUGUAAUAUUAAAAAAAAUGUUUAUUUUCUUAUGGUUUAAAUAAAAGUGUUCUUAAUAUCUUGGGAUUCUUCGGGCAAAGCAUGUAUUCUUUUUUAAACUAUUCAUUCUAUUAUUGUUUGUUAUUUUAGUUUAUUUUUAAUUGUUAGUUAAUUAUUAUUAAGAGUGGUUAAGAAUGACUUCUUUCCAUUCCAUUAUAAAAUUGUACAGUAUUAUACUAUUAACUUUUGCUUUUUUAUGUUUAUUUUUGUUAAAAUAGGGUAUUAUUAUUAAUCCGACAGCUUUUAUUUGUUGUCUGUAAUUUUGUUUUUUUAAAUACAGUUAACUUCUAUUACCAAUAAUACCUGCAAGGAUAUUUUUAAUUUAAUACUAAAGAAAUUAUAGAAUACUAUAAUUAAGAUUAGUAGUAUUAACAAAGUAGGGGUUACUGAUAAUAAAAUUUGACAGUAUUAACUUUGAUAGAUAUAGCAAGUUAAUUAAUUAGAGUGUUCUUACAGUGGAAUGGUGGUUAUACUCGUAAAGCAUAAUUUUGAAAACUUGAUGUUGAAGAUGGUGUCUGAUAGAAAAUGAAAGAAAGAAGAAAAAGCAAAGAAUGAUGAAAGCAUAAAAGAGAUUUUAUAUAUGAAGUGAGAGUACAAAAGCAUCAUAGACAUUCUGGUUACAGAUUCAUGGAAAGAGAGAGAGAAGAUGAUUAUUGAUGGAGGCACUACAAAGAUGAAAGUCUUUUAUUUAGGAGAUAGAUAAUAUGCUACGUUGCAUGGUUUAGAAGUGACCAUUUUCUUCAACGGGUGGGUGCUUACCAUAAGGGGGCUUAUGGUAUGGCUUUGGUUUGGGUUUAGGCUCGUAAAUUGGUGGUCUUGGCUUGUGGAUGGGUGGCUUAUACUUACGGGGUGGUUUGUAGAAGCUGUCAGACUCAGAUUCAGCAGCAAGCCCUUGAGGGGUCAGAAUCAGAGCCAAAAGGAACAACACAACCAAAGUUAAGAGAGAAUUAGCCAUCUUCAUUCUGUUAUUGCUUCUGCAUCUUACUCACUCAUUCAUCUCCUUUUAUAGUCAGCCUUCACGCACGUCUCAAUCCAAUUCAUUUAUCGUUCCCUCUGUCACUGUAUCAAAUGUCAAACAUUUGGUGUGCAUUUUUCUAUGCCCACUGGUCCCAUUUUGUAUCUCUCCCACUUAAUAAUACCCUCUGUGUUUAUCUCUCCCACUUACUUUUUCUUUAUUAUCAUACCAUUCUCCAAACUUUAUCGUUAAUUCUCAUCUGAAUUCGACCACUGUCGGAUACAACAAAACAAAAACACUUUCUACUACUCAUCUAGUAUACUCUCUAAUAAUUACAGAACCAUCUCGGAUCCGGUUCCCGGAUUGUUGCCGACAACACUAUUCGGCCCUAUGACACAUUUAAUUUAUUGAAUUCGUGACAAAAAUUAUCUCUGUAAUAAAAUUUAAUAUAAAUUUUUUAAUAACGUGUAUAAAUAAAUAGGAAAUGUUUUUUAAUAAUUUUUUUACAAUAUUAUUUGUGAUUGAUUUAUUUUAAAUAUUUUUUUUUAAAAUAAAUUUAUAUAGAUCAAUAAAACAAUAAAAUGUGACUGUUGUCAAAAAAAUUAUUAUGGAAAAGUUGUUAAUAGUCUAAAUAAAUAAUACAAAUGACAUAUUAUUAUUUGUUUGGACCAAUUUUUGUGAUUGUGACUUUUGUUUUAAUAGUAAAAUUAUUUUUUUGGUUUAUUCUUAAUUGAUCAAUCCAUUUUAUUUUGAAUAGGAAUAAUAGUUAACCUUCGUGAUUGUUUACAACACAUUUUAUUACAUACUGAUACAGUUGUUAUCAUGUGAUAUUGAUUCACACGGAUGAAUAUUUAUAUGAAGACGAUUAUUUGAUAAUGUAUUUUUAUUCUAAUUAUUUUAAUUUAAUUAUUUUUUAUUUUUCUGAAGUUCUAACUCAUAUCAUUAUAACUUUUUCUUAUUUUAUUAUCUUUGUCCUGUAUUCAAUUAAUUAAAUAAAAACAAAAAACAAAUAUCAUUAAACAUAAUAAAAUAAAAAUAAAUAAAAAAUCACUUUACUUAAAACAAAAUUAAAACUAUUUGGGUCCAAAAAAAAUAUUUUGAAUUGAAAUUUUCAUAAACAUGAUGACUUCACUUAAAAAAAAUGUUGAAAUUGUAGCAUUUCAUAAGACUUCAACUAUAAGAAAACCUUCAUAAGUAUAAUAACUUCACUUUAAGAAACUAAAAAAAAGAAUAGAAGUCGUUAUAGUCGUACCAUCUAAUAUGACUUUAACCCAUAUGUACGACUUAUCUUAUUGUGUAAAAUUUUAAAAAUCUAACUUCUUUACAUAAAUACAAAAGUUGAUUAAUUCCUUUUGGUUAAUUAACCUGUUUACAAAUACUUCACUACAAUAUUGGUAUGUUGAUAUCAAAUUCAGUCAUGGAAUAGUUUAAAUAGAGACGUAGUUUAAAUAGUUUUUUUUUCUACUAUAAUUUAUCCAUAUAUUGUAUAAAGACAUGACAAUUAUUGAGAAAAUGAAAAAGUUCAUUGUCUAAGAAAGAUAAAGAAAAUGAGCUAUAUGAUUAAGAUAUUAUAAAGGAUGGAUAAUAUUUUAUGUAAUAUUUAUUACUACACAAAAAAAAAAAAACAUUAGAAUUAAUGAAUGGCUAUAGUUGAAAGAAAUAAAAGAAAGUAGUAAUAGUAGUGGAGGAAGAAAAAGAACAUAAAAAUCCAUUAUAAUGGCUAGUUUUAUUAGUGUCUCCUGUAUAAGAAAUGAAAAAGUGGAUCUAAAACAAGAGAGAUAAGACACAACACUUUGAUAAAGCGACAAGAAGCCUAUCUUGUUUAAAUCUCAUUUUGUUCUCCAAACAUCUUAUUUGUUAUAAAAACUCUCAUUUAGUAUAUAUCUAAUGAGUGAUUAUAUGCUAGUGAGCUUUCUUUUUGUAACUUGUCUUUGAGACCUAAAAACCUAAACUUAGAAGUAAGUUUAAAUAUCUAUUUUUGAGUUUUACACUACAAAAACUACAGUAAUUAACGUCCACAAAAACCCCACGAAGAAAACAAAAGAAUAUGAAUCACAUAAUCGAACAAAAAAAAAAUAAGAAAAUUUUAUCUUAGAAGUCCCACGUUAACUUGAUUAAUGAUCAAUUUAUAAUAUAUAAAUGGAUAUAAAUCUCAUCGUACAAAUAGUUUUUUAGAAUUGAGUUAGAUUUAAAAUCUGAUUUUGAGUACUGACAAAGAUAAACACAAUAUACAAAUUCACAAAAUGGAUAAUGAUAUUUAGACAACAUUUUUUUGAUAACAUUUAAACAUCACCUACGUGUCAUUUUGUUAUUGGUCCAGUGGUGUUUAGAUAGAUAAUCCUGAACACGCAACCUCCAGUCAUGUUUUUUCCUUUUUACAUGUGUUCUUUUUUCCUUUUAUAAAGGGGUUCACCUCUUUGGCCAGUGUAACUUUUCAAUACAUUAUUUCUCUCCCCUUUCUUGUUUGUCUUCCUUUAGCUAUGCAAGACAUGUUCUUUUUUGCUUUUCUUUUUAGCCUAAUGGUUCACACUGUUCUUGUGUCAGUCUAUUAUGCACAACUUUAAAUAUAAAAUUUAUAUUUUGAAUUAUUUUAGAUUAUAAAAUAAAAAUAUAUAUUUUAACUUACAAAAUCCAAAAUAAAAAUUUUAUAUUCUAAAAUAUAUUAUUCAAAUUGUAUAUUUUAAAACUCAAAAUAAACAUAUGUAUUGUUCUUACGAAUCAUGUAUUCUUGGAUUGAGAAAACCUGAAACGUGUGAUGUUAUGUUAUGGGAGAGCAUGAGUACCAAAGGAGGAGUUUGUGGUUGAGAGAAUAAUGAGAGAAAAUUUAGUGUUUUCUUUUUUUUCUCUUAAUCUAAUCUAAUAACUAUAGAAAAUUCACUAUUUUAGUAACCUCAAUUUUACAUGCAUUCUAUUUCUUCUACUUAGACCCUAUUAAACUCCUCAUCCAACAUAUUAAUUUCAUCUAUACCAUAAAAAGGUAAUUAAUUAAAACACAAAAAUAACAUAAAUAGUCACAUGCAAAAUUUAAAAUUAAAUCAAUAUUAUGAAUUUUCUAAGACUUAAACACUAAAAUUGAUAAAAAAAAAUAAAAUAAAAAACAAAAAUCAAAAUUGUGACUUAAAAAAAUGAAAUAGUAAAAUAAGUAUUAAUAUAUUUUAUUUUUAAUAAGUUAAAAAAAUAUAAUAUUAAUAACAACUUUAAAUUUAUUAAUUUUAUUGAUUACUAUGGUUAAACACAAGUAAAUUUUUUAAUAUAUAUCAUAUAAAAAAUAUUUAAUAAUUUUUUAUAAUUAAUUACAUAUUAAAAGUAAUUUUUCAUAAUAAUUUGUAAGAAAACAAACACGUAUUUAAUUAUUUUAAUAAUUAAUAUAAUAAAAAAGACUAAAAAUUUUAUACUGAAAUUAUAAUUUUUUUAAUUAUACUAAAAGAGUAUAUAUCAACAUUUAUUAUAUUAAAAUAAUUAUUUAUCCUAAAAUACACAAACUAAAUUAUUGAACUGAAUUAUAUAAAAUUAAUAAAAGAGAAAAUAAAAAUAAAAAACGUGUAAAGAAGGGACAAAAUUAAAUGUGAACACAUAUUUGUAAUUAAUAUAUUUUCGGCUGAUUGAAAAGGUGUUGAUCAGUAUACGACGAAAGUGUCUUUGUCUGCUUGAUGCCAUUUCCAUCACAGUAGAAGUAGCCGACUGCAACUCAUCCUCCAUUACUGUAUAAUUGUUUCAACUUUUCAAGACUGAUUCAUGUGCUUUCACAUUUAUGAUCAAUGUUUUUGGACAGAAACAUGUUGGCUAUAUUAUUCAUUGUUUGGUUAAAUUUCGAUAAGGUUUGAAAUUUCAACGGAUAGGUAGGGAAUAUGAAAUUUGCUACUCUCAAAUUAAAGACUAUAGUACCAUUCUUAUUGUGAGUCGUUGAAAAACUUUAGUAAUUUCGUUAUCAAACUUUUUUCUUUUGCUAGUAAUUUUAUUAAGUUAUGUCAUCUUCUCUUGUUUUAUGUGCUACCACCACCAUUUGUUCUUGUUUUUACUAAUGUAUAAUUAGAACAAAGAAUAAGCUAAUGCAUUUAAAGUAAAAAAAAAAAAAAAAAAAAACAAAAUUAUUAUCAAUUUAUAUUUGAGAAAAACAUAAUUCUCGGUUUAAUUUUCAUUUUUUUCAUCUAUUUUAAAUACUUAUUCACUAAACAUACUAAGUAAAAACCAUUCUAACUAUUCAAACAGUUCAUAUUUAUCAAAAUCAACUAUCCAACAUACAUUAGUGCACAUAACUUUAUUUGCACAAAAAUAGUUCACCUUUAUCAAAAUCAAUUAUCCAACUUUAGCCCACACCACACAUAUAGAUCCAAAUGGCUCAGACAAAUAAAUACAUCUAGACGCUGCUUCUAAAAGACUGGUUUAUCGAAUAGACUGAUGAAUAAAUACAUCCUAUCAUACUUACUACUAAUUUCUUCUCAUUAUAACCAUAUUAGAAACCAAUAUUGUUCAUCAAGUCAUAACAUGAUUAACUUCACUAGUUCCCUGAUUCUCUUUCAUAUCAUAUAGUCUAAAGUGAAGCUUCCUUUGACUCUCACCACGUGGAUAUUUUUCACUAUGUAAGUUGGAUACUAGUAGAGUCGGGAUAAUCUCAUUGACGAAAUCCCUUUCAAUACACUUUGACACACUAAAUAGUAGCAUUUUCAAUUGAAAAUAGGUAUUAGGACUCAAACUGCACAUUAUCAAACCAAACCAAGUUCAAAAAAAUCUACCUUUAUAUAACAUUCAACAUAACUUCCACCCAACACAACAUCCCCACCGCUCACACUCCAAAAUGUAUCAUUUUUCACCCAACGCUUGAAAGCUACCACCUAGCGUCCACACUGCUGCAACUAUGAUGCUCAACGGUGUUCAAGGCCUAACCUAGCGGUAACAAGUCAAUAGUUGGUAUCUUAAGAAAUUUACACUAACACCCAACAAUACCCACACAAACAAAACUGAAACACGUCUAAAAUGCUUUAAAUGUUAAUAUACCAAAGAUAACAUACCCACUUUUAUCAAUAUGAUUCACUUCAUGUUCACAAACUACAUCAAUUCAUUGCUUUCAUCUACUUUAAGUUACCAUCUAUCAAUUAUACAUCAUUACAGACAUAAAUACCCAUAUUGUUGUUCAAGAUAUGAAACCUCAUUCAAAAGAUUUCAAUUCUAUAACACAUCUCUUAUGAAUCUAACCAACUUUCACCCAAAACCCAACAACUAAAAUUGGGAAAAUUGAAUAAGAUAAAAGAUCCUUACACUUACAAAUUUCACAAAGGUACAUGAUACUUUUAUAAUCGGUGCAACAUAAUAAUUCAAGACAUACAUGCACACUAAAACACUAAUUACCAAUAUGAUAUAUAUUCUAAAGUUAUUUAAAGUUUCAAACACAUUAAAAGGAUUCUAAACCUAGUGCAAAAAUCACAUACAAAUUUACUUACAUCAAAUAUACUAAUUUCUCAAUAAUUGAUAGAGACAAAGGUCCAACCAAAACUCAACCCUUCUCAAUACCAUUCUAUUAUAUAUUGCCACAGUACUCAAAACAACCAAAAACCAAAUUUCUCUUCUUCCUUCAAUAGUUUCACAAGUUCGACAUUUAGAUUUUCUUUAUUAAGCCAACAUCAAAAACAAUUUUGCACGUCUGCUACAUUAAUCACAAAUAUAGUCCAAUCUAAAUUUCUCAAUCAAAUUUUGUGCAUCGUAGAUUUCCAUGCAUAUAAUUAUGAAUACAAAUUAAAAAUAAACUAAAUGAUUAGUUUUCCUUACCUUAAAGAAAAUUCUUAGUGCUACUUUUCUCCUACACAACUUCAAAAUGUAUAAUUGCUCUAUCUAUAUAUACAACCGAAAAAGAGCCUCAUGGAAGAGAUAAAACAUAUUACUUUAACGAAAAAGAGACAAAAAUUGAAAUUACUCAAAAGAUGAAAUUGAUCGAUACAAAAUGUUCCUUAGCUCCUCAAUUUCAACAUGAUGCAUUUUGAUUUUGAAAAAUAUGAGAAAUUAAAGGUGAAAUUUGAGAGAGAAGGGAGAAAAAUGGUUGAAAGAAAAGAAAAAAUUUUAUAGUGUGUGUGGGGUUUACAAUAUGUAUGAGUAACUUCUCCAAGCCCUUCUAUAAGGGCUAUUUUAUAAUAUAGCAGUUGCUUCCAACAUUUCCUAAAAUUAUAGUUAUUAGUUGUGUUCAAUAUAGUAAAAAGUAUGUGAAGUACACAGGAACACACUAGAGAGAAGGGAGGUGAAGAGUGUUUUCAAAACAUUUUCACAAAGUAGCAUCUAAAUAACUUGUAAUGAGAAUAUAUAAAGGUGUACUAUGCUUUGACGCUGGUUUUAUGGGAUAGGUAAAUAAGAAUAGGUUCAGACGAUGGCAUUUCAAAAGAAUUUGUAAAAGCUUUAAGGGGAAAAACAAUAAAGUGCAAUUUUUAUACUAGUUCACUCAAUCUGAGCUAUGUCUAGUUCUCUUUUAAAAAUUCUUAGGGGUUUCAAUAAUCUUAUCAAAGAUUGCACAAGUUUAACCCACUCUUGGUUGCAAGUAUUCUUACACCACUCCUGGUCUCCUAGUCAACACAACUAGUCCGAGUUUAGUCUCUCUAAGAUAUAACCCUAUACAACACGUCUAGACUGAGUUUACCGACUCCUGGUUGUAAGUAUUCUUACACCACUUUUGGUCCCCUAUUUAACACGAUUAAUCCAAGUUUGACUUCUCUAAAAUCUAACACUAGACAACUGUCUAAACGAGUUUACUCACUCUUGGUUGCAAGUAUUAUUUUUCACUCCUAACACCCGAGUAUUUUAACCAUUCCUAGUUUACAAGUGUAUGAAUACAAAAUGGAAAUAACUCUUUUAGAAAGGAUGUUUAAUGAGAACAAAAUAUUCCGAAGUUCUUGUAAUUGCUCUCUCUCUAAUCAAAUGACAUAGGCUUAGAGCAAGACGCAUUUCUGUUGUUGACUCUCCAGUUUUCUCUCCUCUUGAUUUUUUUUUUUGCAUUAGACGCUAUGAGCACGAAGACAAACAUCAGAGUAGAUUUUCAAUAAGGUUUUCUUUUCUUUUCUUCUCUUCUCUUUUCUUUUUUGAAAGCUUUGAAAACUUUCAUGAUGGAAAACUUAGAGUUCUAUAAAAUUUAAGAAAUAAGAAAGAAAUUGAAAUCAUAGAAAGAUCCACAACAUUUCGCAAAAUUUUUGACAAGUGCUCAAUACUUCAAUUAUAACUAAUCUACUUUUGUAUUUAUGUAAAAAAAAUUGAAUUUUUAAAAUUUUACAUAAUAGGAUGAAGUCAUACAUGGGUUAAAGUCAUUUUAGAUAGUAUGACUGCAACUGAAUCAAAUUUCUCUUAUUUGAAGUUGUACGAGGUUACAUGACUUCUAUUUUUUAUUUUUUUAUUUUCUUAACGUGAAGUUAUUAUAGGUUUAUUUAAAAACAUUAUUUUAAUAUUAUAGUUGAAGUCAUAUGAAACGGUAUAACUUCAACAUUUUUUCUAAGUGAAGUCAUCAUGUUUAUGAAAACCUCAAUUCAAAAUAUUUUUUUUGGUACCGAAGUAGUUUUAAUUUUGUUUGAAGUAAAGUGAUUUUUUUAUUUUUUAUUUUAUUAUGUUUGAUGAUAUUUUAUUUUGUUUUUAUUUAAUUAAUUUAAUAUAGUAGUAUACUAUAUGAGUAGUAGGGUAGUAGAAAGUGUUUUUGUUUUGUUGUAUCCGACAGUGGUCGAAUUCAGAUUAGAAUUAACGAUAAAGUUUGGAGAAUGGUGUAAUAGUAUAGAAAAAAGUAAGUGGGAGAGAUAAACACAGAGGCUAUUAUUAAGUGGGAGAGAUACAAAAUGGGACCAGUGGGCAUAGAAAAAUGCACACCAAAUGUUUGACAUUUGACAGAGUGACAGAGGGAACGAUAAAUGAAUAGGAUUGAGACGUGCGUGAAGGCUGACUAUAAAAGGAGAUGAAUGAGUGAGUAAGAUGCAGAAGCAAUAACAGAAUGAAGAUGGCUAAUUCUCUCUUAACUUUGGUUGUGUUGCUCCUUUUGGCUCUGAUUCUGACCCCUCAAGGGCUUGCUGCUGAAUCUGAGUCUGACAGCUUCUACAAACCACCCCAUAAGUAUAAGCCACCCAUCCACAAGCCAAGACCACCAAUUUACAAGCCUAAACACAAACCAAAGCCAUACCACAAGCCCCCUUAUGGUAAGCACCCACCCGUUGAAGAAAAUGGUCACUUCUAAACCAUGCAACGUAUCAAGUUAUCUAUCUCCUAAAUAAAAACACUUUCAUCUUUGUAGUGCCUCCAUCAAUAAUCAUUUCAAUCAUCUUCUCUCUCUCUUUCCAUGAAUCUGUAACCAGAAUAUCUAUCAUGCUUUUGUACUCUCACUUCAUAUAUAAAAUGUCUUUUAUGCUUUCCUCGUUCUUUGCUUUUUCUUCUUUCUUUCAUUUUCUAUCAGACACCAUCUUCAACGUCAAGUUUGAAAAAUUAUGCUUUACGAGUAUAACCACCAUUCCACUGUAAGAACACUCUAAUUAAUUAACUUGUUAAUUAUAUCUAUUGUUCCGGUGAUAAUUUUUGGGGACCGAGACACUAACCUGGAUGACGUGGCUUUCCCGCUUUCUGACGCUUGGACUGGUCGGAUUGCUCGCUUUUCCUGGAUCUUGACCGCUCGCUUUCCUUCACCCUUGACCGUUCGGUAGUCUUCAAGCUUUGACCGAAGGGGGAGGUACCUGCAAAAGGCACUCCGACGCCCAAGUCAGGCGUGUGAUGGAAGAACCUCGGUUCUUAAUUGAAUAUUUAGUGAAGGGUUUUCACUAUUUGAGAAUAUGAGUUGAAUGUGAAUGAAGUGUGAUUGGAAGUUGAUUCGAAGGUGAUUCGAAGAUACCUGGCUUGUNNN
rnacentral:lncRNA from 1 species